ACAACUGCAACAAUUGCCGCCAUUCAACCAACUUGCGUUGACAAACCCAACAGCGUUCUACCUACAACCCAUCAUUGAUGGUGCCCUCUGUUAGAUUGCUUAUGAGUUAUAGUUCAAUAAUGAAGUUUUUUGGUUGAUGUUUGUGGCUUCCCAGAAAUAAUAAAGUACAUUUCUAGAUUCUCAUGUGCUACUUGUCUCCAAAUGUGGUUGAUAAUUAUUUUGCUCUAAGAUCGAGAGUAAUGAUGUAUAAAUCAUCGUUGUCGUGUGAUACUCGGUCAAUUGAGCAUUAGCACACACAAACAUGACGAGAAUGGUAUAAUCUCCAAAAAUAUGUACUUUGUAGGUGGGACCCUAUAGCCAUGCAAAAUAUGCUAUGUUAGGCAUGCCGAUGGAAACAUGUGAUGCAUAUGUUUCGUGAACCUGUUGAUAUUAUAUGUGAUUUAUAUUACGAUAUUUUACUAAAAUACUAAUAUUUAUUACUAGUAAGUUAUAACAUUCUAUCAAUCUUAAAAACCUAACCAUAAAUAUUCCAUCGUAACUAGGUUUACCAAACUAUACAAAUACACAAUAAAUACAAAAUUAACAAUACAAUAACCAAUAUUUAUGAGCUUAAUAAAUUUAAUUUUAGGGUUGGUCGAUGAUAAUCAUAUUGACUUCCCCUGACUCCUUGAUUGUAAAUAUGCCUAGACCAUGCCUCUUUCUACUAUACGGCAAACAGGGACCACUCUAGGAGACUAGGACGUUGCUUGAGACGAAGACGCCAUCAUUGAUGUAGACUAUCGACCAUCUGACUGCAGUCGAUAAAAAUUAACUAUUUCUGUGAGGCGUUUGACCAAAAAUGACAAAACUUUACUAGGUUCUGUUGGUUGAGUGAGGGCCGACAAAAGUUGAUAAAUUUUCGUGGGAUUAUUUCAAGCCGACAUAAAUUAUUUUGGCUAAUGGAAGUUUCUUUUUUCCUUAGUUGUGUGGUGCUAUACAUAUGCAUGUCUGAUUCACGUGAUAAACUAGGCUAGAAAAACAAUUAUUUGACAUGGAUUGUUGUGGAGGACCAUACCAACUGUGACUGCCAUCUCAAUCCAGCUGACAUCUAAGUGACCUUUGAAUAAAUUAUUAAGCUGACAAAACUUUGACACCAAGAAGAAAGUUUAAGUAUGUAAAUAUUUAUGUUCAUCAAGCUGCUAUUCCCUAUCAUUGGCAUGAACAUUGUCAUCAUUUAGUUCCUAAGAAUAUAAUAAAAACAAGAAGAGCCACCUCACGAGAAUCCUUUAACAUAGACUAAAUAGUAGUUUUUGUGGAACACAACAGAACUGUACACCAUUUUCAGCGGCCAAGGUUAUUUUCGGCGGCCAGGACUUAGCCGCCGAAAAUAAACCUAUUUUCGGCGGCUUCUGACACAGCCGCUGAAUAUACAUUUAUUUUUGGCGGCUACUAACACAACCGCCGAAAUAAGGUUUUUAAAACCGUCGGGCUCCUUCUCUAUUCUCUCUGUUUCUUCUCUUCUUCUCCUCGCUCGGUCGCCGCCGUACGCCGCCACGCCGCCCGCCCGUCGCCGCCGUGCCCGCCACAGCUACAUCCACGCCCCCGCCGAGGCGCCGCGCCACCCCGUGCAGCCAUGCCCCCGGCGGCUCCGUCUCGUCGUCUGCCGUCACCCUCGGCUCCCAUCGACCAAGAAAACUUGAAUACUCCUUAGCCAAAAAAUGGAUGAAUUUCACCUUCCUUAUCUUAAGCUCCUUGAUUUUUCUACUAAGUGUCGCUAUUCUAACCAUUAUCCCUUGGGUAAACCAUAUUUGAUUAUCCAGCCAAAGGACCCAGAAGAUAAAAACAAUUUUUAAUUGCUAUUUCGAGACAAAUGAAUUAGCGUGAUUCGAAAAGGAUUACGACCUUCCCCCUUGACCUUUGUCAUACUUCUUUAGUCUAAUCGAUAGAAUCAAGAAUAGAAAUCACUGAAGAAGUUGAUAAGCGAAGCUUCGACGAUAAUAGGAACAUGGUGACAAUAGGACGAACGAUGAUGCCUUUGUCUAAGAAUGUUAUCUAGAAGAAAUCUCAAUCAAUUGUCGGUACAACGAAAAGAUAGAAACAUGCACCCUUGAGUAUGAAACAUUUAUAUGUAAGAGGAAGGAGGAAUGUAAUUGCUCAUGCCUAAUCAUAUUAUUGAGAGUUUUAAGGCGAGACUUAUGGCAAAGGGUUAUACACAAAAAUAGGGGAAAGGUCAUUUCAAUACUUAAUCAAUUUUUGCCCUUCUAAUGACCAUACAUGUGUUACUUUUUUUGGCUGCCUCACAUGGUCUUAUCGUUCACCAGAUGAAUGUUACGUCUGUUUUCCUAAAUGGAGAGCUUAAUGAACAGAUCUACAAUGACUAGCCUGGUGGAUUUACACCAAUUGGUAAAGAGGAAAAGGUGUUUAAAUUAAAACAAAUUUAUGGUUUAAAACAAGAACCAAAGCACAUGAGAAAUUUGAUAAAGUUUUGACUUUGGCUAAAUUUGUUGCAAAUGAAGCUGAUAAAUGUGUCCAUUACCGGUUUGACAGGGGUGAAGGUAUAACAUUUUUUAUGUGGAUGAUAUAUUAAUCUUUUGUAAUGGUGUUAAUAUGAUCGAGGAAGUAAAGUAAUUUUUGUCUAGUAACUUUGAAAUAAACAAUCUGGGAGAGAUUAAUGUUGUUCUUAACAUAAAGAUGUUCAGAGGAGGAGGAAAUAUGGGGUUAUUCUUGUGCAAUCCUAUUAGGUUGAAAGGUCGAUGAGUUGCUUUGGAUAUAGUGACUACACGUCUGGUCCAACUACUUAUGACCCAAGUGUGCUAUUAAGGAAAAUCAUAUAAUCGCAUAUGAUCAAUUGAGAUAUUGUCAAAGCAUGGUCUUCUCAUGGAUUUGGCUAGUUCAACGAGGCCUGAUAUCUCGUUUGCUAUGAGCAAACUCAGUUGCUUUGUCUCCAAUCUUAGGGAUGAUCAUGACAUGCCCUAGAGAGGGUAUUGCGCUAUCUAAAAGGGACUAUGAGUAAUGUCAUUUACUAUACCACACACCUAAGGGUACCAGAGUGUUAUAGUGAUGCAAACAAAAUAUGUGAUGGUGAUUAGAUUUAAGCCACAAGUAGAUAUGUGUGCUUACUUGAAGGUGUGGUUGUUUCAUCGAAGUCUUGUAAGCAGACCAUCUUAACAAGGUCAACAAUAAAAGUAGAACUCACAACAUUAGAUAUUGCCAAAGUUGAUGCCGAGUGGCUUCGUGAACUCCUUAUGGAUUUACUAGUAGUUGAAAAUCGAAUACUGGUUAUCUAUAUGAGCUAUAAUGAUUAAACAUUGGUAAUCAAAGUGAACAAUUCUUAGGUUAACAUGAAUACUACAAAGCAUGUCAAAAAACGGUUGAAACUGUUAAAACACCAAGAAAUUCUAGAUUAAUUGUGUUGGACUAUGUCCAUACUUCUAAGAAUUUGGUAUGCGAGUUUAUAGAAGAUUUGUCACAUAAUGUGAUAGAUGGUGCAUCGAGGAAGAUGGGCUUGAGACCCACUUAAUGCCAUUCCAUAGUAGUAGCAUUUUCUAUGUGAUUGGAGAUCUCAUAGAGUAGAAUGGUGAAACAAGCUAGAGAAUGACUGAUGGAGAGACUCCUUAAAUAAAAUCUAGGUAAUUUCAUAUGCACAUUUCUCCUUUGAUGUACGAUAGGCUAACUAAAAUAUUAAUAUGAUUUGAGUGACUUAUCUAAGUAGGGAUGUUAUCUUACAGAACAUCCUAGAAGGAACACACCUAUAUGAGUUUCACUGCUAGUCACGAUCUAUGAUAUGUGGGCAAUAUUUAUAUACUCAUGAAAGGCCUCGAAGUUUGACUUAUAUGAUUCAAGCCAAGGGGAUUCUUGUAAUAGUCUAGUACGAGAUAAGAACUUUGGAGAAACUCACUUCAUGCAAAAUUGUCAAUUCAAGGUAUAGUCCAUUGUUCAGAUAUGAAUAUGUAAUCCCUGUUCUAGAUGGAUGGUCAACUUAACAGCCUCCACCAAAACCCUUAUAUAUCAAAGAGUAGUGGAUUUGAAUUUGUCUAAUUUGAAUUUGUCUAAUAUGUAGUUUAUGGGCUUGGCUCAUUUAAAGUAUUUAAUAAUUCUGAAAGACAAGAUUAAACUAACUAUGUAUGAUCCUUUAGCAUCGUGCAGAUGGUCAAUGGGACAGUUACAUGGUUUAUAUAGAUGGACCUAUCUAUAUUCCUUCAGUAGUUGAGAAAAAGGUAAAGGUGUGUCACACUCACACAUGCGCUGCCUCCACCGAGACAAGGCAUGGCGUUGCAAGGUGAGGCAUGGCAUGGUGCAACACGAUCGCAGUCAUGGUCGUGGCGCGGUGUAGCAUUGUUGUGGAUAGAUCGAUAAACUAUUGUUGUAGUUAGAGUACAUGAGUUUUUGAAUGCAACACUAGAAUUUUCUCAAUUUAACUUAAUUAAGAAAUUAUAUCUUGAUGACAUAGAGUUACCUGACCAUUGAUCUCACAUGCCCUUUUAGCUCUCUCGUUCUCUAGUCUCGCCUGACUAUUUAGGUCUCCUGACUCGCCAAUAGAAAGACCAUCCUAUCAUUUGCUCUCGAAUACUUCUGUGUCAUAACUUGAAAGUCGCCUAGAGCGGGAGGUGAAUAGGCGAAACCUAAAAUUUAUAAACUUAAACACACACAAAGGUCGGGGGUUAGAGUUAGAAUUAAAUUCUAGUCCAGAAGAAUAUCUCUGUUGCUAGGAGUUGCUCAAGGAUUGCAGAUGAUGUAUGUGAGCCAACUCAAAUUCACACUAGCAAGGAAAUGUUAGAGAGAGGAAAACAAAUCAAACAAGAAUCAAGGCGAGUGAACACGAUGAUUUGUUUUACCGAGGUUCGGUUCCAAAGAACCUAGUCCCCGUUGAUGAGGUCACAAAGACCGGGUCUAUUUCAACCAUUUCCCUCUCUCAAACGGUCACUUAGACCGAGUGAGCGUUUUCCUUAAUCUCUCGGGUCACUUAGACCCCGUAAGGACCACCACACACUUAGUUGUCUCUUGCUUCAAUUACAAGUCACUUGAGAAAUAGACGGGAAAAGAAAAAGGCCAAACCAAGCAACAAGAGCAACAAAGAACACAAGAUAUCCUCUCACAAGCCCUAAUGCACUAGAGUUGAUUUUGGGGCUUUGAGUGGAUUGAUUGCUUUGAUUGUGUCUUGGAGUGUUGGACUUUGCUCUUGCAAUGAAUGAGAGUUCAGAAAUGCUUGGAUGGUUAUGAAUGAGGUGGUUGGGGGUAUUUAUAGCCCCCAACCACUUCCAUAGCCGUUGGUGAAGGCUGCUAGCGAUGGGCGCACCGGACAGUCCGGUGCAUCACCGGAGAGCCACUGUGUACUGUCCGGUGCGCGCCACAUCAGCGCAACCGUUAGGGUUCGGAGCUGGUCAACCGUUGGAGUCUUUGUCGUCUUGUUGCACCGGACAGUCCGGUGCCCUCUGACUUCUGACAUCCACUGUUCAUCGCGACAGAGUCGACCGCUGGCGCAUAGAGCCGUUGCUCCGCUGGUACACCGGACAGUCCGAUGAAUUAUAGCGAAGCGCGCCCUAGAAUUCCUGAGAGUGGCUGGUUCAUCUGCUGUACGACCUGGUGCACCGGACCCUGUCCGGUGCGCCAUUUUUUAGCACACUCAAGUCCUUUUGCUCCAAUUAAAUUGUGUCCCUAACUUAAUUUCUUUCUUGGUUUGUGUUGAACCUUAUGCACCUAUAAUACAUGAAUUCUUGACAAACUAGUCAGUCCAUGUGUUUGUGUUGGUCGUCAACCACCAAAAUUAAUUAUAGGAAAUGGUUAACCCUAUUUCCCUUUAAAUCUCCCCCUUUUUGGUGGUUGAUGCCAACACAAACCAAAGCAAAUAAUAAAUGUAGAAAUAUAACUAGUUUGGAAUUGAGAUGAAUGUGCAUAGGUUACUUGGAAUUAAACCAAUAAAAUAUUUUCAACAUAUGAAUAAGAGUGAAUGGAUUGGCUUUCUUUUAUUUAAUAUUUUGGACCACAUUUGCACCACAUGUUUUAUUUUUGCAAAUCUUUUGGAAAUCUAUUCAAAAACUUCUGCAAAUAGUCAAAGGUAUAGGAAUAUGAUUGCAAGAAGCAUUUUUUAGGAUUUUGAAAUUCCUCCCCCUGUUUCAAAUGCUUUUCCUUUGACUACAUAAAAGCUCCCCCUAAAUGAAAUUCUCCCCUUAGCUUUCAAGAGGGUUUUGAAGUAGAUACCAAUUGAAAAAAUUUCUCUCACAUAUGAGUUGAAAGUUAGAUACCAAUUGAAAAUAUAUUAAUUGAAAUUCUUCCAUACUUAAUGUGAAGUUUUGAAGAUACCAAUUGAGAAAUUUUCUUCACAUACCAAUUGAAAAUUCAUUUUGAUCAAAUACCAAUUGAAAUAUACACCAGUUGAAGUUUACCAAUUAAAGAAAAUUUCAUUUUGAAUUUUUUUGAAAUGGUGGUGCGGUCCUUUUGCUUUGGGCUUAAUAUUUUCUCCCCCUUUGGCAUUAAGCGCAAAAAAUGGAGAAUUCGAGAGCCCUUUUUCUCCCUUUAUGGGGUCUAAUACUUUCUCACAAAUGGUAAAAUGAAUAUGAGUGAAUGAUUAUACCAAUUGAGAGUGUGGAGGAACAACGACAAAGGGUAUACCGUCAGAGUUGGAGUGGAAGCCUUGUCUUUGCGGAAAACUCCAUUUCUUUUUCAAUCUACGACUUAGUAUAGAAAUACACUUGAAAACACAUUAGUCAUAGUCUUGGCACAAGAAGAGUAAGAAAUAUGUAUUUGCACCAAAUGAAAGAGAUAUGAUCAAAUGUAUAUAAAUUAGCUAUGUGUGCAAAGUUUCAAUCAAAGUUCCGUGAAUCAAGUAUAUUUAGCUCAUUCCUAAGUUUGCUAAAUGUUUUCUCAUCUAGUGGCUUGGUAAAGAUAUCGGCUAAUUGGUUGUGGGUGCUCACAUAAGCAAUUUCGAUAUCCCAUUUUGUUGGUGAUCUCUCAAAAAGUGAUACCGGAUGUCUAUGUGCUUAGUGCGGCUAUGUUCAACGGGAUUAUCCGCCAUGCGGAUUGCACUCUCAUUAUCACAUAGGAGAGGGACUUUGCUCAAUUUGUAUCCAUAGUCCCUAAGGGUUUGCGUCAUCCAAAGUAAUUGCGCACAACAAUGACUUGUGACAAUGUACUCGGCUUUGGCGGUGGAAAGAGCUACAGAGUUUUGUUUCUUUGAAGCCCAUGACACCAGGGAUCUUCCUAAAAACUGACAAGUCCCUGAUGUGCUUUUCCUAUCAAUUUUACAUCCGGCAUAAUCGGCGUCGGAAUACCCAAUUAAAUCAAAGGUAGAUCCCUUGGGGUACCAAAGCCCAAACUUAGGAGUGUAAACUAAAUAUCGCAUGAUUCUUUUCACGGCCCUAAUGUGAACUUCCUUAGGAUUUGCCUGGAACCUUGCACACAUGCAUAGAGAGAGCAAAAUAUCCGGUCGAGAUGCACAUAAAUAGAGUAAAGAUCCUAUGAUCGACCGAUAUACCUUUUGAUCUACGGAUUUACCUCCCGUGUCGAGGUCGAGAUGCCCAUUGGUUCCCAUGGGUGUCUUGACGGGUUUGCCAUUCUUCAUCCCAAACUUCUUAAGUAUAUCUUGUAUGUAUUUUGUUUGGCUGAUGAAGGUGCCCUCUUGGAGUUACUUGAUUUGAAAUCCAAGGAAGUACUUCGACUCCCCCAUCAUAGACAUCUUGAAUUUCUGUAUCAUGAUCCUACUAAACUCUUCACAAGUUGACUUGUUAGUAGACCCAAAUAUAAUAUCGUCAACAUAAAUUUGACAUAUAAACAAGUAUUUUGCAACAGUUUUAGUAAAGAGAGUAGGAUCGGCUUUACCGACUUUGAAUCCACUAGUGAUAAGAAAAUCUCUCAGACAUUCAUACCAUGCUCUUGGGGCUUGCUUGAGCCCAUAAAGCGCCUUUGAGAGUUUGUAAACAUGGUUAGGGUACUCACUAUCUUCAAAGCCGGGAGGUUGCUCAACAUAGACCUCUUCCUUGAUGGGUCCAUUGAGGAAGGCACUUUUCACGUCCAUUUGAUAAAGCUUGAAGCCAUGGUAAGUAGCAUAGGCAAGUAAUAUACGAUUUGUCUCAAGCCUAGCUACAGGUGCAUAAGUUUCAUCAAAGUCCAAACCUUCGACUUGUGAAUAACCUUUGGCCUCAAGUCGGGCUUUGUUCCUUGUCACCACACCAUGCUCAUCUUGCUUGUUGCGGAAUACCCAUUUGGUACCUACAACAUUUUGAUUAGGACGUGGAACUAAAUGCCAUACCUCAUUCCUCGUGAAGUUGUUGAGCUCCUCUUGCAUUGCCACCACCCAAUCCGGAUCUCUUAGUGCAUCCUCUAUCCUGUAUGGCUCAAUAGAGGACACAAAAGAGUAAUGUUCACAAAAAUGUGCAACUCGAGAUCUAGUGGUUACCCCCUUGUGAAUGUCACCAAGAAUGGAGUUGACGGGGUGAUCUCGUUGAAUUGCUUGGUGGACUCUUGGGUGUGGCGGUCUUUGAUCUCUUAUUUCUUGAUCAUCUUCCUUGUCUUGGUUAUCAUCAUCUCCCCCUUGAUCCAUGUCCUCCUCUUGAGGUGGCUCAUCCUCUUGAUCUUCAUCUUCAUUAUCUUGAGCCUGAUCCUCGUCUUGAGUUGGUGGAGAUGCUUGCAUGGAAGAUGACAAUUGAUCUUGUGCUUGUGAAGGCUCUUCGAAUUCCUUGGGACACAUAUCUCCAAUGGACAUGUUCCUUAGUGCGACGCACGGAGCUUCUUCAUCAUCUAGUUCAUCAAGAUCAACUUGCUUCACUUGGGAGCCAUUAGUCUCAUCAAACACAAUGUCACAAGAUACUUCAACUAAUCCAGUGGAUUUGUUGAAGACUCUAUAUGCCCUUGUGUUUGAGUCAUACCCUAGUAAAAAGCCUUCUACAACCUUAGGAGCAAAUUUAGAACUUCUACCUCUUUUAAUAAGAAUAAAGCAUUUACUCCCAAAGACUCUAAAAUAUGAAACAUUGAGAUUUUUACCAGUGAGGAGUUCAUAUGAUGUUUUCUUGGGGAUUCAGUGAAGGUAGAGCUGGUUGAUGGAGUAGCAAGCGGUGUUGAUUGCUUCUGCCCAAAACCGUUCCGGAGUCUUGUAUUCAUCAAGCAUGGUUCUUGCCAUGUCCAAUAGAGUUCUAUUCUUCCUCUCCACUACACCAUUUUGUUGAGGUGUGUAGGGAGAAGAGAACUCAUGCUUGAUGCCGUCCUCCUCAAGAAAUCCUUCAAUUUGAGAGUUCUUGAACUCCGUCCCAUUAUCGCUUCUUAUCUUUUUGAUCCUUAAUCCAAACUCAUUUUGAGCACGUCUCAAGAAUCUCUUUAAGGUCUCUUGGGUUUGAUAUUUUUCCUGCAAAAAGAAUACCCAAGUGAAGCGAGAAUAAUCAUCCACAAUAACAAGACAUUACUUACUUCCGCCGAUGCUUAUAUAAGCAAUCAGACCGAAUAGAUCCAUGUAGAGUAGCUCAAGUGGCAUGUCCGCUGUCAUGAUGUUUUUGUGUGGAUGAUGGACUCCAACUUGCUUCCUUGCUUGACAUGCGCUACAAAUCAUGUCUUUCUCAAAAUGAACAUUUGUUAGUCCUAAAAUGUGCUCUCCCUUUAGAAGCUUAUGAAGAUUCUUCAUUCCAACAUGGGCAAGUCGGCGAUGCCAGAGCCAGCCCAUAUUAGUCUUAGCAAUUAAGCAAAUGUCUAGUUCAGCUUGGUUAUCAUUAAAAUCAACUAAGUAUAGCUGACCAUCUAAUACUCCCUUAAAUGCUACUGAAUCAUCACUUCUUCUAAAGACAGUAACACCUACAUCAGUAAAUAAAUAAUUGUAGCCCAUUUUGCAUAAUUGGGAAAUAGAAAGCAAAUUGUAAUGUAAAGAAUCUACAAGAAAAACAUUGGAAAUAGAAUGGUAAGAAAAUAUAGCUAUUUUUCCCAACCUUUGACCAAACCUUGAUUUCCAUUCCCGAAUGUAAUAGCUCUUUGGGGAUCUUCAUUUUUCUCAUAGGAGGAGAACAUCAUUUUCUCCCCUGUCAUGUGGUUUGUGCACCCGCUAUCGAUUAUCCAACUUGAUCCACUGGAUGCAUAAACCUGCAAAACAAUUUAGGCCUUGUUCUUACGUACCCAAACAGUCUUGAGUCAUUUGACGUUAGAAACAAGCACCUUGGGCACCCAAACACAAGUCUUGGGACUCUUGUGUUUGCCCCCAACAUAUUUGGCAACUAUCUUGCCUGAUUUGUUAGUUAAAACAUAUGAAGCAUCAAAAGUCUUAAAUGAAACAUUAUGUGCAUUUGAUGCAGUAGGAAUUUUUUUUCUAGGCAUUUUGACAUGAGUGGUAUGCCUAGAGCUAGACGCCUCAUUUUUGUACAUAAAUGCAUGGUGAGAAACAGAAUGAGGUUUCCUAGCAUGAAUCUUCAUAAUCUUAUGUUCAAGAUAGUUUGCAGGAUAUACAAUGUAACCCUCACUAUCCUAAACCAUGGGAGCCUUACCCUUAACAAAAUUAGACAAUCUUUUAGGGGUAUUAAGCUUGGUGUUGUUUUGAUUUCCUUGUUGGAAACCAAUACCAUCCUUAAUGUCAGGGCGUCUCCCAUUAUAGAGCAUGCUUCUAGCAAAUUUAAAAUUUUCAUUCUCUAACUCAUGCUCGGCAAUUUUAGUAGUUAAUUUAGCUAUAUGAUCAUUUUGUUGUUUAAUCAUGGCAAGGUGAUCAUCCAUAGCUUCAAUAUUAACAUCUCUACAUCUAGUGCAAAUAGUAACAUGAUCAACAGUAGAUGUAGAUGGUUUGCAGGUAUUUAAUUAUUCUAUCUUAGCACUUAAUCUAAUAUUCUCAUCUCUAAGACAGGAAAAAGGAUCAUUGCAAACAUUCAAUUUUUCAAUCUUAGAAACUAAACUAGCAUUUUCAGUUCUAAGACUUGAAAUUGAAUCAUGAUAAAUGCUAAUAUCCUUAGAUAAGUUUUCACAUUUUCUAUUUCCUGAGCAUAAGCAUUUUUUAAUUUAACAAUUUUAUUGUUCUAUUUAACGAGGAAGUCCUCUUGGCUUUCCAAGAGGUCAUCCUUCUCGUUAAUGGUUUCAAUUAGUUCAUUUAUUUUUUUCUUUUGUUCCAUGUUAAGGUUGGCAAAAAGAGCAAGUAAAUCAUCUUCAUUAUCGCUAGAGCUACCCUCAUCACUAGAUGUUGUAUAUUUGGGGUGGCUCACUAUACGACGGUUGAUCUUUAGCGACUCUUAUUAGGGACUGACGGUUGGUCGCUAAAAGUUAUGGACCGACGGUUGGUCGCUAAAUGCGUUUAUAGCGACGGUCUGUGGGUCGCUAAAAGUCUAGAAAUUUAACGACAUAUGGUUGGUCGCUAUAGAGGUAAGUGUGUGACUGAUGGUGGGUCGCUAUAGGGGUACGUGAUUUUUGUGUUUCUUAUUUACUCACCAAAGCCCAUCUAAAGGCCUACUAAACAAACGAAACCCUAUUUCACGCACCAAACCACAAGCGCAGCCGCCGUCACUUCUGCCCCAUCACGGCCCCAUCCUGCCGCUCGUCGACGACGCCACCCCGCCCCUCGGCCGCGGUCGCCGUCAGGCAGCCAGCCACCGCGACAUUGGCCAUGAUUUUUUGUGCCUGUUCUUGCUUAACUUUAUAACUGAUAAAGUUUCCAAUCACAAGAUUUACUUAAUUUAUACUAUUAUUAUCUUCUGUUGCAGUAUUUCCUUAUUAUUAAAGCAGCAAGGUUUGCCGCUUCCUCGUGUGUCCACGUCGGCAAAUUUUUUUGCCGUCCGAUCGUUCAUCAAUGGUGACAAUCUCACCCCUGCACAGUGUGUGUGGAUGGUUCUAGUUUCUUCUCUCACCAGCUCAUGCGUCUCCAAAGUAAAAAGGAUAAGAGAGACUCUGGGUUGCCGAGGUCCGCUUUCGUAACUACAGGAGGUAGGCAAAGGAGACGGCGACGACGAAGAACAUGUACUUCCUCCAUUACGUCCUCUAUUCCUAUCAUUGCCUUUCGUUUCUUUUCUUUUCUACAAUCGGCGUUACCUGCUGCAGUCGACGGCUCGGUCCCCUUGGUAUCUAAUGCCUUUGCGCGGCACCUGAGUUCUACACUUGCGACGAACUUGAGCAUUGCAUUCGUCGUUGUUCUUGUGUCCAUUCUUGUCUCUGACUCGGGCCGCCGCGAGUUCCUCCAUUCCCACUGCCAUGGAAUACGCCAGUGCGCUGAAUGACGCCUGCGUCUUCACGGAUCUCCUCCUCCUUUUGGCUAACAUGGCUCCUCAAAGAUGACCGCGUACGUUUGUCGAGCGGCGCUGGCAAGGGCCACGUGAACUGCGUUGGUCGACGCUUCCACACGCGCCGCUAAGCCUGCCCUGCCGCCCCCUAUGCGAUGCUGCUCCUCCCCUUUCUUCUCCGCCUAGGCUGGCGCUUGGAGGAGGAUGCCACCAAGGUUACCAACUACUUAAUGUACGCGUGCAAGAUGCUCGAUGAUACACCCCAACGGAAAGCAGUGUCGUGGACGAUGGUAGUCGUGGGGAACAUUGUAGACUCCACGCCGGUUGAGGAGGAAAAACUCCAUUGGCUCUUUUGUCACCUUAAGGGAUUUGCCUAACGUUUCCUUUUUUUUCUUUUAAAUAUGAUUUCCCCCAUACGUAUGCAGAUGCAGUUGCCAUAUUUUAAUGCUCAAUGCUGCCUACUUUAAUUUUAUGCUUAAUUUUUUUUAAUGCUCAAUGCUGCCUACUUUCCUUCACUGAUUUGGCUGCUCUUUUAUUUAGCUUAUAGCAACGGAAAAAAGUUAGCACAUUCCAAAAACUUCAAAGACUGCUGUGUACGACAUCCUAUAUUACCGGUAUGAGUACUUUUGAGAGCUUAAAUGUUGUUAGUCUUCUGUUUGCUAUUACGUGCUUUUGCUUUCCUGAAAAACUUCACACAGUUUCAGCUACGAAUUGACCAAUGACGAAAACAAGAUAUAUGAAGUGGCACAAUACUCAGUUUUACUUCUAAAAAUUGAAGAGAUUUAAAGAAGGAUUAUUCCAACAAUAAAUAUCUAUACUUUUGUUAGCAUACAUUUUCUUUUCUCAUGGCAUAUAUUUUCUUAAGGGCUAGUUUGAAAAUUUUAAAUCCUCUCCGGGAUUCCCGGAUAUUGAGAAGAAAAUGAGCUAAUUUCCCACUCAAUCCCUGAGAAUACCGGAGGAGAUUUUUAAGUUUCCAAAUUAGCCCUAAGUGUAGUAACUGAUUUUCACUUAAUUUUGCAGACUGCUUCUGUUUGAAUUGAACGGCAUCUUCAGAAUCUCGGCGACGCUAAUUUCUAACUCAUAUGGGAGAGGUCUAUUUCUAGAAUUUUUGUUUUUCUUUAAUAGAUUUGCCACCUACAUUGGCAUUUUUUCCCACUGCAAUCGAUUAUAAACUACAGUUUUGCAACCUUUCAGUGACAUGAACAUCUAACCAUAUUCAAGUUUGCCCUCAUCUCAAUAUCCAGAUAUCUCCACCUCAUCGACUCAAUAGUUAACCAUAUUCAAGUUUGCCCCUUUGAAACCAUCUGCUUGGAUUUUAUCGAUUCCAUUACCUAAAAAUAUGGUACAAUUUCAGUACGCCAGUACAUAUUAUGCAAAUGAAACACAAUUAAAAUCAGCAUUGUGAACUUUAUUGUUUGCCCAUUUUUUUGAUAAAUUACCCAUUUUAUGAUUCUACUGGGCCCUUUUCGCCUUUGCCCUACAAUUAUUCCUCCUCUUCGCUCUUUUGUUUCAUUGUUUGUUCUGCUUUGCACUUCUAUUCAUUGCAUUCUUCGUCGGUGAUUGUGCUCGUCCAGUUCGUCGGCCAUGUGUUCUAUCAUUUUCGUCAGAAAUCCUUUCUUAAGCCCUCCACUUUUCUCCUUUUUUGUUACCUUCGCACUUCGUUUUUAUUGUUCAUGUUCUCUGUCGUCGAGAUCUACUGUCUCAGGUUUAUUCUGGCUUUCAUAGUAAAUAAAUUGCUCUUCUUCCCCUCAUUUCUUGCUGGACGCAUAUUAUGCUUUUCCACUUUGCGACAACACUGUUUCCCUUAUUUGUGUUCGAGUAAAGUUCAGACUUUAUCCUCAGAGGUAAUUGUUACUUGCCUUAGCUUGCACUCUAUACACAUAAAGCGCUACUGUGCUGUUGCAUCAACUGUUUCGUUCCAUAGUUUUUGUUUUAUCCCACUUGGUUUAUGUCUUAUGUGCGCAUCAAACACUUCAAGCUAACAAUUACGCUUUCUAGUUUUGUAGACAUUAAAACAAAUGUUUCACUCCAAUGUAGGCCAAACAUAUUUAAGCGGUAUCGCAACAUGUGCAUGGUACUUUAAUGCAGACAUUUCUAAGGCACAUAUGUAGUAUAACAUGUACGGGAAAAUAGAUAAACAAAACACUAUCCAUUCUUGUAAUUACAUUUCCCCUUAAACCUGUUCUCCUUACAUGUCAUGUUGACAAUCAUCUACAUUAUCUAGCUGUCUGGUAGUAGCAUUUUUGUAAAACUAACAUACAAAUCUAGCAUUAACUUUUGCCCCAAAUUUCUAAAAUCUAUUAUGAACUACAAACAAGUUCCAAGUAUUCCUUUUCACAUGAAUAUGAGCACACUUUUUAAGCCAUCCAAUAACAUUUAAUCAACAUGUAUCGUCUACAUUAUCUAGCUGUCUGGUAGAAGCAUUUUUGUAAAAUUAACAUACCAAUCUAGCAUUAACUUUUUUCCCCAAAUUUCUGAAACAUAUUAUGAACUACAAAUAAGUUCCAAGUAUUCCUUUGCACAUGAAUAUGAGCACCCUUUUUUAAGCCAUCCAAUAACAUUUAAGCAACAUGUAUGCUUAAAUUCCACAAUACUGACCAAUUACACAAAUGUUUGCUACUAUUUCAAUUUUUGUUGUCACAUCAUUUAAAGGUUACAAAAUAUUGAACUUUAGUUGCUACGACCUACAAUACUUGAAGAAGAGAUCCAGGUUUCCCAGACACCUACUUUCGAGGACAAAACCAUCAAUGAAUUGGUUGAAAUUGAUCCAGAUAUAUUCCAUGUAAUCACUUUAACUUCCUAUUUUGUUGAACUCAUUCAUUACAUCAACUACAACUCCAUCUUAUUUAUAGUAAACUUUUUUCGCGAAAUGCAGCCACAAGGUUAUAGAUGUACUAAUCGCUAUAUCACGCCUCACACAGGAAGGUAGAUGGUGGUUCCCAUCUUGCACUAAAUGCAACAAGUCUUCAAUUCAGACCUCUACUAAAUAUCGCUGCAUACGUGUGAUUGGACAGAAACUAAAUUUAGGUAACCUUUCACACAAACAAUUACUUUGUCGUUAUUCGUCUGAGAUAAAACACUUCCUCUUACUUAUCAAAUCACUGCCACACAACAUUAACAGUUCAUAAUUCAAAGAUACAAACUCGGCUUCAUUGCUACUGAUGGAACAUUCGAAGCAGAAUUCUUUUGUUUUGACAAUAUAGCUAAACAAAUAGUAGAAAAACCUUGUGAAACCCUUGUUAGUAUCCUUCUCUAGAUUUAGUUGCCAUUGUCUCUCUCAGAUUCACCUUUGCAGAUACCAUUAAUAUGUUCGCGUUCUCCGUCACAAAUCGAGUCUUUUUUGUUCUCUCCGUGUUAACAAAUCAUGGAAGGAAAAGGUCAGCACCAUGUACCAUACAAAACUAUCAACAACAAGAAUUAGUGACACAAGAUGACAUAUUAGCCUCACAACCACAUAAAACUCUCCAACAACAUCGUUUGCAAAGCUAUCCACUUUUGGUGACCAUAAAAAUGUGGUGAGAAUUUUUUAGUGCAAACUACAACUAUUUCACAUGAACUUAUAUAUGUGCAUAGACUAAUGAAAUCUAUUUGACAGGCAUGUCACAGCCUUGCAUAUUCUAAUGCACUACAUGAUAUAGAGGUAAGUUUUUCUACCAUCACGUUUAGGCUCCAUAUGUACCCAAAAAUGACAUAAUUGUCUACCUCAAUUAUUUUGUGAUGGGAGAGAGUAUAUCUAUUCAUAAUUUGAAGACAGUGAUUUUUUUCCAUACAUAUCUAUGCAGGCAUAAAAUUACACACAAAAGAAAAAGAAUACUAUCUAUGCAAGAUGGACUCGAAAAUCCUUUCAACAUGUGGAUCAAUCUAAUUAUUUUAGAUUUUUUCUAAAUUUGCCUUUCAAUGGCUGAAGUCCCAUUUUGAUGCAAAUGAAAAAGCGAACAUCCUGUAGACUGCUGUUGCUGUGCAUCUCAACUGUUUUGGUCUUCCAAUCUUUUUGGAAGUAUUAUUAUUUUUACUUUCACUUACUCUUAUAAUUGCAUCAUGUUACACGAUGUUGACGUCAAUAUGGAUAUACACCCAAACAAUCUAAAUUCAAGGUCUUGUCAAAGCAAACUAAGGUUCUUUUUUUAAUACAAAGUCGUAUGGAUUCUGUUAGAUCUUGUAUUUUUUCCUACUAAUGUCAAUAUCAACCCGCAAGCGUCUCUUAAGUCACUCUUUUUAGGAUCAUUAUUUCACAUACUUUAAACCACAUAUGAAAUUUUGUUAGGCACACUAUUUGACAAUUCUUAUCCACUUACAGAAUGUUGACUAGCUUUCAGAACACCUUAACAAAAAAGAUCUUUUCUAAAUUUGCCUUUCAAUGGCCAAAAUCCCAUUUUUAUGCAAAUGAGAAAUGAACAGCCUACAAACUAUUUUUGUUGUGCAUCUCCACUGUUUUGGGCUUCCAAUCUUUUCUUGAGUAUUUUUUUACUUUCAAUUACCCCCUCUUAUAGUUUCAUCAUUAAAAAGUAUUGUUUUUUACUUUCAAUUACUCCCUCUUAUAAUUUCAUCGUGUUACACAAUGUUGAUGUCGAUAUAGAUAUACACCCAGACCAUCUAAAUGCGAGUUCUUAUCAAAGCAAACUUAGGUUCCUUUUUUUGAUACAAAGUCGUCUGGUUUCUCUUAAACCUAUCUAGUAUUUUGUUUCCUACUAAUGUCAAUACCGACCUGCAAGCCUCUCCUACCUCACUCUUUUCGGGAUCACUAUUUCACAUACUUUAAACCACAUAUGAAAUUAUGUUAUACAUUAGGCACACUAUUUGACGAUUCUUAUCCACUUACUUACAGGAUGUUGACUAGCUUUCAGACCACCUUGACAAAAAAAUCUGGCAUCCCCACCUAAGAAGUAUGUUUAAAAAAAAGAGGAGAGCAAAUGCAACCCGAGCAACAAGUUGCUUCCUUUUUUACACUAUGUACCAUAGUCCUUUCUAAGUUCUAACAUUGCAGAACACAUACAUGAUCAAAACUAGCAGGCUUCAAAAACAUCAAAAAGAUUUUACAGGCCCUGAAAGCGAUGUCCGGUAGAUCAACGUCAUUCUCAUCAAGGCGCGACAUAAUUUUACACCUCUUCUCUACACACAACUUCUAAUCAAUAUAAUUUGUGCAUUGUUCUUCACUCUCCUUUAUAACCUUUGCGCAAAAAUAGAAUAGCUCACAAACUCUUCAACGACAACUGAUCUGUCCUUUUUUCUGUACAGAUAAUUGCUUUGCGUAUCUACAACGACCAUCACUACUUUUGAAGCGCAAACGCUUUUAUGUACAUAUAACCAAACCGAUGAAACUUCUCUAGCUUAGUAUUUGUUUAUGCGAUCCUCAGCUCUGCUUUCUGUACCUAUGACGAUCAUCGUCACUUUUGCAAAGCAAAUGCUUUUGUGUACAUAUUACCAAGUUGAUGAAACCUUGCCAGUUUAGCGUCUGUUUAUUAUGAUCUUUAGCUCUUGGAACACACUGCUGAAAUACAAUGUAAUAUGUAUAGUCCUCUCAGUCUACUCUAGACUUGCUGUAACCGCUAUAAUUAUUAUCUUAGUACAACAAUUUAUGUAAGCACUGGGACCAGUUUAAAUUUGCUCUUAAACUGAUGACAGCAUGUGCUAUAUAACAAGUUCUGAGUGUACAUUAUCCCAAUGAAAUUGUGUCAUUAUCCUAACAAAAUUGAUCAUAAAAAUAGUUCAUAUUGCUGCAGGUACGCGCGCAUGGGCGCGCACGAUACACUAGUUGAUUAUACUUAAAAAUGUACAUCCCAAAUGUCGCUUAGUCCAAACCGUGUAUAUUUCACCCAAACCAACUCGAGUUUGUAUGUGUAUUUGCCUACUCGAGUUUGUAUGUGUAUUUGCCUUCGUAUUUUCGAGAAUGAAAUAAAAUUAAGUGGGAAAAUCCCAUUUUUCUUUAUCCUCCACCGCCGUAUUUUCUUUUUGCUCCCCGAAGCUGCAACCAUCGUUUCCUCCUCUCCUGAAGCACGACAGCCAGUCCAGCCACCAUUUGGGUGCUCAUCUCCCUCUGCUCGGCACCUAGCCCCAGCUCGCCCGAGCUCCCUGCGCCGACCUCAUCUUCCCCAUGGCGCGUCACCUUCUAGUCCUCUCCUUCCCACGGCACAGCAGCGCCCCUGCAGCUCCCCUUCUCCAGAUCCAUGGCACCCAACACCUUGAGCGCCCCUGCCGCUGCUCCUCCACCGGGAUCUCCUCCUCCACUAGGCGUCCAGGCUUGUCCCACCGUGGCUGCCCCUCCUCCAUCUCCUCCCUCCCCACCAGGUUACCCAGAUUCCAUGGCCGCCGCCGCCCCAGCCAUCUCCCUGGUGGCCGACCUCGCCCCUGCCCCAGCCACAGCUCCCCCUUCGGCCCUGCUGCUGCAAGCACUCAGCCUCUCCCAUGGCACACGGUACUCGUCCAGCCCCUUUCUACUGGUGGCUGAGCCAUCUCUCUGGUGCUCGAUGAAAUGACCAUGAGGAGUUUUGUGUUGUGUGCAGCCCCAUCUGCAACACCGUCGACCCCCGACGAGGUCCUUUCUCGCCUUGUCGUUUUAGUACUCGGCGUCGAUUAAGUAGAUGCUAACCGUGUGUAUAUUCGUGUGUUCUUGUGAGGAGAAAUCCCAUGAUUUGGGGGAAGACGAAGUCCAAGCACAACCCCCGCCAAUCGCUCGAUGAAAAAUCUAAACCAAAACCCUCAGCGUUUUCAAGGGUUCCGGAGGGAUUUUAUGUUGGUAAGGUAAUUUGUGUCCUAAUUAGUUCACUCAGUUAUUGAGUUGAAGAGAUUGUUAGUUGUAUGUGUCGAUGAUGCUAUUUUGAUUAGCAGGUGUUGUGCGGUGUGAUCUCCAAUUCCCUAUUGCUGUUUUCUUACUCCAUCAUGACCUUAGGGAAGGAUGUUUUCCUCUAAAUUACUCGUAAUAAUUAUGCUUGGUGUAUGUGUUGUUUUAGCUACUUGAUGAAAUGUUUUAGUUGUGUGCGAUAAUAUGGUUGCCGUUCGAGUGGAAAGUAGAUGUGUUGUAUGACCUGAGUUGGAGUUGAGGCAAGUAUGUGUGUCUCGUAUUACGAAACUAAUUAGAGAUAUGCAUGAUGUUUGUAGAUGGAUUAUGUGUAGAGUGUUUUAGUACAAGUAUUUUUUUUAGGUAUAGUUGAACCAGUUAUUGUAUAUGAAUUGUGCGAUAUCAAGGUAGUUCUAAUGUUCUUUUAACAUCUUGCUAAUAAGGUGUUAGAGUAUUCUAAAUGCCAAACAUAGGAUAAUUUUACAAGCCAAAUAGAAGUUAAAUUGAAGGUAUUGCUGUUUAGGGCUGUAGGUAUAGUUUUAGUUAUGCAGCUAGUCCAAUAAAGUAGAUCAUGUUUUCUGUAGAAGCGUUAUAUAUAAAACUUGUAGAUAAUCUUUUUAUCUUACUUGUGUAAAAAUUUCAUGACCAUAGGUGUAGUAGUUUAGGAGUUAUGAUUUUUCCAAGUCCAGUCUCAGAAUCUGUCCAAAUUCUGUACAGGUUUCGAAAAUUGGAUUGCUUGGCUAAGCUAAACUGAGAAUCAGCCCUUAGUAAUUAUAGAAGAAUUUUAGUACUUUUCUUAAGCUUUCCAACAAAUUUUGGAGCACCCUUUUUGGUGGUCUAGAUAUCAAGUUACAGCUGUUUGAACUAUAGAGUCUGAAUUUGUCCAAAUUUGGACAGCGAAGUCUGUUUGUAGUAACUGACUUUGAUAUGUAUUGAAUUAACCUGAGAUGUUUAUAAAUGAAUUGUAGACAAUUCUAUUAACUUUCUAAAAAGUCUAGGAUCACCUGAUUUGGAUUUCGGAAACUCCAGUUCUGGACUUUUGAAGUAAGUAGUCGAAUUCUGUCCAAAUCUGGACAUAAUUUAUGUUUAGCGCUGUUUGACCUUUGUAAAGGUCGAAUUUUGUUGUGAUGGUAAUACAAAAGUUAUAGAGGACUUUAUAAGCUUUCCAAAAAGUUCUAGUUUACUAUUAUUGGAUACAUAUUUUAUGAAUUGUGAGCUAAACAGAUAGUUGCUGACUUGCUGUUCUGCUGUCCAAACACAUGUCUACUGUCUGAAAAUAGCUCAUUUUGUAGUUACAUUUGCAUUAGGCUUUGAUGAUUGCUGUACAAGGAUGAUAUGGCCUCCCGCCCAAAGCUGUCUGGUAUUCAGAAGCAGGUUUUGGCGCUGUAUAGGGGAUUCCUUCGGACAGCACGCCUUAAGGCCCCUGAAGAACGCCGCAGGAUCGAGUCUGUUAUCUUGGCAGAGUUCCGUGACAACGCAAGGAGUGUUGACCUUAGGAACUUUGUACACAUAGAGUACUUGUUGAGGAGAGGGAAGAAGCAUCUUGAGCAGCUCAAGAAUCCUGAUAUUACUGGACUCGCUACCCUUGUAGUAAAGAAAUGAGGUACGUAGUUUUCAAAAACACUUAUUUGACUGUGCAUGGUCUUCGAAACAAGUUUUAGUUUUUAAGUUUGACCAAAUCUUGUCAUAAACAUCAAGUUUUUUUUUUAAACAACGGAAGUCGAUUAGUAUUUAAAAUCAGCAAGUAUCAUCCAUUAGUAUUUUAGGUCUUUAGAUUUAAAAAUUGUGGACUUGUCAAAACUCUAUGUUAUUUGAUAAGGCUCUACUUGUUAAAUUAAGUGGUGUGGUGCUUGAUUUAGUCGAUGUGCUAUGCCCGAUAAUCUAGAUUAGUAACUCUAAAAUCUAGUUAAAGUAUUUCUAUUCGUCACUUUAAGUUAUAGGUAUCCAUGGUUGUUGUGUCUAAGUAUCCGAUUUCUGAGCUCUGCCCCUGCUGUUUAGGAUAGCAUAUGGAGUUCUUUAUGUUCCACAAGCACAAUUGAUCUUAUGGAAUGGAAAUAGUAGAACAUUACCUGGUGAGAGCACACAAAUACCUUAUACAAAGCAGGUAUUGAGUCAAAUUGUUGUGUACCCAUUUGUGGUCUGGAUACACUGGUUUGGUGAAAAUGAAAUAUGCCCAAAGCAACAAAACCCAGUUCACAUGAACUGCUAUCCUGUAUUUACGAAUCUUGACUAGUCUAGUAAUAUAUGUAUGUGGAAAUAUGAAGGUUUCUUUAUUUCUCUUCUUAAACAGCAAGAGAAGAAGGAAGACUAGUCAGACAAAAUAGAAGACGAGAAGAACUGAUGUAGCCAUGUUCAUGCUUCCAUGUAAUAGUUCAUUAUUCCAUACAUAUUUCUGUCUAUCCAGAAUCUACUAUUGAAAUACAUAUCUAGCAUAGCUUGCUCAGCUCCUAUAUGUUGUUUCAACGUUGAUUUAAAAGAAGAGCUGGUAGUUGUGGGCUUUUGAACAAUAGCUGGAGUGAUAUGAAAUAUUAGUGAUGUAGUUGUGGGCUUUUAAACUGCUUCAAGCUGGAGUGAUGUCGCUGUGGUGCUUUUGUGACUGAUCAUCUCUAGAGCUUUUGUGAAUGAUCUAGCUAGCUAUCUGUAAAUGAUCUAGUUGUGAAUGAUAUUAUAAUUGUGAUGCUUUUGUGAAUAUAUAAUUGUGGUGCUUUUGUGUUUAUGUGAUGGAUCUAUGACUGUGGUAUACUGAUUAACUGUGUAUGUCUUUAUGAUUUGUGUAUAAAAAUCUGUGAUUUGUGGUGCUUAAUUAAAUGUAUAUUUUUAUUAAUAACAACUGUAAAAGGGCGACUUUUUGUUGGUUGCUAAAUGUAUAGUAUGACGACUUACAGUUGGUUGCUAAAUCUAUACUACAGCAACCCACGGUUGGUCGCUAAAUAUACAAUAUUAGCAAUAGACGUCGGUCGCUAAAAAGAUGUCGGUCGCUAAAGCCUUUAGCGACGGCACUUACAGCGACCAUCCUUAUGGGUCGCUAAAAGUUUUUAGCGACCAACCGUAGGUCGCUGAAGGCCGUUUUAGCAACCAACCGUAGGUCGCUGUAAGUGAACCGUCGUGUAGUGGCUCUAGAGUGUACCUUUUUCUUCUUGCCGUCCUUAGCCAUGAGACACUUGUGGCCGAUGUUGGGGAAGAGGAGGCCCUUGUUGACGGCAAUGUUGGCGGCGUCCUCGUUGGAGGAGGAGUCGGUGGAGCUCUCGUCGGAGUCCUAUUCCCGACAUAUGUGUGCAUCGCUGCCCUUCUUCUUGUAGUAUCUCUUCUUCUCCUUCUUCUUCCCCUUCUUGUCUUCGUCCCUGUCACUUUCACUAGAAAUUGGACAUUUAGCUAUGAAAUGAUCGGACUUACCACAACGGUAACACACCCUCUUGCAGCGGGACUUGUAGUCUUUCCCCCCUCCUUUGUUUGAGGAUUUGACGGAAGCUCUUGAUGAUGAGUACCAUCUCCUCAUUGUCGAGCUUGGAGGCGCCGAUUGAAAGUCUACUUGGUGUAGACUCCUCCUUCUUUUCUUCUGUCGCUUUGAAUGCGACGGGUUGCACCUCGGGUGUAGAGGUGGCACCUUGCUCCAAGUUGACAAUGUGUUUGGAGUCUUUGAUCAUUAGUUCAAAACUCACAAACUUGCCAAUAACCUCCUCGGGAGACAUUAGUUUAUAUCUAGGAUCCCCACGUAUUAAUUGAACUUGAGUAGGAUUGUGAAAUACGAGGGAUAUAAGAAUAACCUUGACCAUCUCAUGGUCAUCACAUUUGGUGCUCCCGAGGUUGCACACUUGGUUCACCAUGGUCUUGAGCCGAUUGUACAUCGCUUGCGGCUCUUCUCCUUUGUUGAGGACGAAUCGACCGAGUUCUCCUUCGAUCAUCUCGCGCUUGGUGAUCUUGGUCACCUCGCCCCCUUCAUGCGCGGUUUUGAGGAUGUCCCAAAUUUCUUUGGCACUCUUUAACCCUUGCACCUUAUUAUACUCCUCUCGACACAAGGAGGCGAUGAGUAUAGACGUGGCUUGGGAGUUAAAGUGCCUAAUUUGGGCGGCCUCGUCCGAGUCGUAGUACUUGUCCCCCACCUUUGGUACAUGCGCUCCAAACUCAACAAUAUCCCAAAUGCUUUCAUGGAGUGAGGUUAGAUGGUGCCUCACUUUAUUACUCCACAUACAAUAAUCUUCACCAUCAAAAUAUGAUGGUUUGCCUAGGGGUACAUAAAGUAAUGGAGCACGCUUUGAAAUACGAGGAUAACAUAGGGGCAUCUUUCUAUACUUCUUGCGCUCAUGGUGCUUAGAAGUAAUGGACAAUUCGGAGCUUGAUGUGGAGGGUGACGAAGAGUCGGUCUCGUAGUAGACCACCUUCUUCAUCAUCUUCUUCUUGUCACCUCUCCGAUGCGACUUGAUGGAGGAAGAGGAUUCCUCCUUGUGUUUGUUGCCGGACUCCCUUGAGAGAGUCCUCCCCAAGCUUGCGGCCUUUUUCGCUGGUCAUGAUCUCCCUCUUGGCGUGAUCUUCAGACAUCACUUCGAGUUGGUUAGACUCUUAAUGAAGCACUGGCUCCGAUACCAAUUGAAAAGUCGCCUAGAGGGGGGUUGAAUAGGCGAAACCUGAAAUUUAUAAACUUAAACACACACUAAGGUCGGGGGUUAGCGUUAGAAUUAAAUUCAAGUCCAAAAGAAUAUCUCUCUUGCUAGGAGUUGCUCAAGGAUUGCGGAUGACGUAUGGGAGCCAACUCAAAUUCACACUAGCAAGGAAAUGUUAGAGAGACGAAAACAAAUCAAACAAGAAUCAAGGCGAGUGAACACGAUGAUUUGUUUUACCGAGGUUCGGUUCCAAAGAACCUAGUCCCCAUUGAGGAGGUCACAAAGACCGGGUCUAUUUCAACCCUUUCCCUCUCUCAAACGGUCACUUAGACCGAGUGAGCCUUUUCCUUAAUCUCUCAGGUCACUUAAACCCCGCAAGGACCACCACACACUUUGGUGUCUCUUGCUUCGAUUACAAGUCACUUAAGAAAUAGACGGGAAAAGAAAAAUGCCAAACCAAGCAACAAGAGCAACAAAGAACACAUGAUAUCCUCUCACAAGCCCUAAUGCACUAGAAUUGAUUUUGGGGCUUUGAGUGGAUUGAUUGCUUUGAUUGUGUCUUGGAGUGUUGGGCUUUGCUCUUGCAAUGAAUGAGAGUUCAGAAAUGCUUGGAUGGUUAUGAAUGAGGUGGUUGGGGGGGGUAUUUAUAGCCCCCAACCACUUCCAUAGCUGUUGGUGAAGGCUGCUGGCGAUGGGCGCACCGGACAGUCCGGUGCGCCACCGGACAACCAUUGUGCAUUAUCCGGUGCGUGCCACGUCAGUGCAACCGUUAGGGUUCGAAGCUGGUCGACCGUUGGAGUCUUUGUUGUCUUGCUGCACCGGACAGUCCAGUGCCACAUCGGACAGUCUGGUGCUCUCUGACUUCUGCGCUCUGACUUCUGACAUCCACUGUUCAUCGCGACAGAGUCGACCGUUGGCGCAGAGAGUCAUUGCUCCGCUGGUACACCGGACAGUCCGGUGAAUUAUAGCGGAGCGCGCCCUGGAAUUCCUGAGAGUGGCUGGUUCAUCUGCUGUAUGGCCUGGUGCACCGGACACUGUCCGGUGCGCCAUUUUUCAGCACACUCAAGUCCUUUUGCUCCAAUAAAUUGUGUCCCUAACUUAAUUUCUUUCUUGGUUUGUGUUGAACCUUAUGCACCUGUAAUACAUGAAUUCUUGACAAACUAGUUAGUCCAUGUGUUUGUGUUGUUCGUCAACCACCAAAAUUAAUUAUAGGAAAUGGUUAACCCUAUUUCCCUUUCACAACUCAACUGUCAGAUGAGUACUCCAUUACAGCACUUACGUACACGAGUUCUAUGAGAGCAGACCUCCAAAAUGAAUAUCUGCUAAGUGUUUAUCUACUUAGAUGAAGGACGACAAUCACUUUCUUGGGAAAUAUUAGCGACACAACUCCUUACAUCCUCCGCUUCUUCCUAGUGUUUUUUGUUGUGAUUGAGUCGACACAGCAACAACACUGCACUAUUACAACCAGUACGACUAUAUCAACUAGCAAUGUCUUCCUUAUAUGUUACUAUUUAUUUUGCUAAUAUUCAUUAUGUUUAAAUCACAUGUGCACCUUUCUAUUGACAUCAAAAAAUUAGUGGGGAUCGAGUGAUUCUUUAAACCGAUUAUUACACAAGUUAACCACACUAAAAUUAACAUUGGUGAAUCGUGCCAUGAUUUUUUUCUAGUGCAAAAUAGCCAAACCAAGCAAAACAUAUGUGGCUAUCGUUACACAUGUGUAAAGGUAUUGCAUCACACCAUUGUCACCCAUGUAUUUGGACAAUACCGAGAGGAAAAACCACUUAUUUAUUGUAUUUUAUCAAGUUUAUCUUGCUUACGUAUAAAUUAUAACCCAACAAAGUAAUCACUAAAUGUCAAAACCAACUAGAUACCAUGUCAUCUCUACCUUAUCUUACUAAUAUUCUUUUUGCAAAAUCGAAAAUUAAUCUUGCACAAGCACAAGGACUGAGAUGUGUAUAAAUAUCUCUUAGAUUAGUAGAUAAUAUAUCGCACAUAUUAUUGAGACCAACUAGCAACAUAGAAAGCACAAUAUUGUACCAAUAAUGGCAGCCAAAAUAUUUUGCCUCAUUAUGCUCCUUGGUCUUUCUGCAAGUGCUGCUACGGCGAGCAUUUUCCCGCAAUGCUCACAAGCUCCUAUAGCUUCCCUUCUUCCCCCAUACCUCUCACCAGCGAUGUCUUCAGUAUGUGAAAAUCCAAUUCUUCUACCCUACAGGAUCCAACAGGCAAUCGCAGCAGGCAUCUUACCUUUAUCACCCUUGUUCCUCCAACAAUCAUCAGCCCUAUUACAGCAGUUACCUUUGGUGCAUUUAUUGGCACAAAACAUCAGGGCACAACAACUACAACAACUCGUGCUAGCAAACCUUGCUGCCUACUCUCAGCAACAGCAGUUACCUUUGGUGCAUUUGUUGGCACAAAACAUCAGGGCACAACAACUACAACAACUCGUGCUAGCAAACCUUGCUGCCUACUCUCAGCAACAACAGUUUCUGCCAUUCAACCAACUAGCUGCAUUGAACUCUGCUGCUUAUUUGCAGCAACAACAACUACUACCAUUCAGCCAGCUAGCUGCUGCCUACCCCCGGCAAUUUCUUCCAUUCAACCAACUGGCAGCAUUGAACUCUCAUGCUUAUGUACAACAACAACAACUACUACCAUUCAGCCAGCUAGCUGCUGUGAGCCCUGCUGCCUUCUUGACACAGCAACAUUUGUUGCCGUUCUACCUGCACACUGCGCCUAACGUUGGCACCCUCUUACAACUGCAACAAUUGCUGCCAUUCGACCAACUUGCUUUGACAAACCCAGCAGUGUUCUACCAACAACCCAUCAUUGGUGGUGCCCUCUUUUAGAUUGCUUAUGAGUUAUAGUUCAAUAAUAAAGUUUUUUUUGCUGAUAUUUGUGGCUUCCCAGAAAUAAGAAAGUACAUUUCUAGAUUCUUAUGUGCUUCUAGUCUCCAAAUGUGGUUGAUAGUUAUUUUGCUCUAAGAUCGGCAGUAAUGAGGUAUAAAUACUUGUUGUCGUGUGCUACUCGGUUAAUUGAGCAUUAACACACAUAAACAUUACAAGGAUGGUAUAAUCUCCUAAAAUGUGUACAUUGUUAGGUGUAACCCUAUAGCCAUGCAGAAUGUGCUAUGUUAGGCAUGCCGAUGGAAACGUGUGACACAUACGUUUUGUUAACCUAUUGAUAUUAUAUGUGCCUUUUAUAUUACCAUAUUUUAUUAAAAUACUAAUAUUUAUUACUAGUAAGAUAUAACAUUCUAUCUAGCUUAAAAACUAACCAUAAAUAUUCCAUCAUAACUAGAUUUACCAAACUAAUAUACUAAAUAUACAUAAUAAAUACAAAAUUAACAAUACAAUAUCAAUAUUUAUGAGCUUAAUAAAUUUAAACAUUAUGGUUGGCCGACGAUAAUCAUACUGACUUUCCGUAAUUGCUUGAUUGUAAAUAUACUUAGACUAAUGCCUCUUUGUUCUACAUGGCAAAUAGGGACCACUCUAGGAGACUAGGAUGUUGCUUGAGACGAAGAUGUUAUCAUUGGUGUAGACUAAUUUCUAUCAGCCGCUGACUUCACUAUUGUAACCAUUAUCUCUUGGGUAAAUCAUAUACGAUUAUCUAGCCAAAGGCCCAGAUGAUAAAAACAAUUUUUAAUUGCUAUUUCAGGACAAAUGAAUUAGCAUGGUUCGAAGGAUUGCGACCUUCCCCCCAUGACUUUUAUCGUAUUGUGUUAGUCUAAUCGACAAAACCAAGAUUAGAUAUCAUCGAAGAAGUUGAUAAGCGAAUCUGUGACCACUAUCAGAAUCAGCUGCUUUGCCGAGUGUCUAAAACACUCGACAAAGCCUGAAAAACACUCGGCAAAGGAUUUGCCGAGUGUAACACUCAGCAAAGAAAGCUCGGCGAAGUAUACAUCGGCAACGACUUCUUUGCCGAGUACUUUUUAUCGGGCACUUGGCAAAGAAGCGUCAUUGUCACGACGAUAGGUAAUGCCGACGGAGUCUGUGACGAGUGUCACAGAGUGACGCUCAGCAAAGGCUCACUCUUUGCUGAGUGACCACUGUACAGACACUCGGCAAAGAAGCCCCCGUGGGUCCCUUUAUCAGGGCCUUUGCCGAGCGUAUUAGGUGGCACUCGGCAAAGGCUCCAUCUUUGGUGACUGCCCGCCAGACUAGCAAUCGACAAAGGGAUCAACAGCGGAUCCCUUUGUCAGUUCUUUUGUCGAGUGCUCUAGGAGGCACUCAAUAAAGCUUGUGUUGGGGGCCUUCUUCUUCCGAAGGUCCUCAAAAACGUGACUAACCAUAGGUUUUCAGUAUGACAUAGACUAUUAUAGGAAGCUUUGGCUUUGGGAUGAAGGCGUGUGAUAUGAGGAUACAGCCCAAAGGCAACAUGGAUGGACGUCGAAGCUAUGGCUAAAGGAGUUUCGGCUUGGCAUGUUAGCGAAGAUGAAGGACGAAACCGACCUAAGGGAGAAAAGACUAGUUAGUCCUUGAUAGUUUGCAUUAUGAUUAAGAGCAGAUAUCAGGGGCAUGCAUGUAAUCUUAUCCGGGCUGCGUCCCGUGCCUAUGAAUAGAUGAAUAGUAACACCGUACUGUUCACGCUGGAUUAUAAUCGCUCCUACGUCACUCUCGCGUCUUCACCUUUUGGUAAGCUGAAGGUAUCAAUGUAAUACAAAUAUUGAUGAUGUUUAUUCAUGUUUAUGAAAUGAGAAUAUAAAUAGCUUGCUGAUUCGUAAUCAUUAUUUAUAUUCUUUUGUAUUUCAUGUACCCUUAUUUAGAUGUGUUCACUGAGAUGAUGAAGGUAUGCCCUUCAUGACCUUCGUUCGGAAACCAUUAUAUCCAAAAGGAGAUAAUGCUUCGAAGGACGAAGGUCUCUAAUUAUUGACAAUCAUGUUGUCUUGUUCUUGAUGUAUAGCAUUUGGGAACAAGGACCAACAUUGGCGCCCACCUCCCGUGAACUCAAUCGACCACCUUCGGCAAGCAUCGACUUUCGUAAUGCCGCCGAAGAAGACAAUAGUGCCAGGGGCUGCCCUGCAGCCACUGGACACUAAUCAGGAAACGCUGCGAGAAGCUAGGAUCUAGAAGAGGAAGGCUACUAGCCCAACACCUCAGGAGGAGGAGCUAGAUCAGGAGAUCAGAGAUUUGGAGGCUAUCACCAGCAGGUACAAAGAAAAAGGGAAAAGAUGCUUCAGCUCGUCGAACUUCAGAGAAAGAUCGACAAAGCUGCUGAAGAAAUGCGUCACCUUACCCAGGAUGACCAAGACCGAAGGCCCCAACAUAGGGAGCUUCAUCAAGAAAGCCCAAUUAAUGACGAUGAGUGGUAUGGUGACUUUCAUCGUGGCAAUUUUGCUUUUGAUGAUGCUUCUCCCUUGGCAGCAGAAUUGCAGGCUACCCCGUGGCCGCCAUCAUACAAGCCACCUCAGCUCCCCAUGUAUGACGAGCACUCAGACCCGAAGCAACCAUAUCCUCAUAUGGGGGCAAUACUGCGGUCAUGGCAAAGUCCUUCGUCAUGGCAGUUAGAAGCGUGGCUCAAACAUGGUGCUCUUCUCUUCGGCCAGGGACAAUUACGUCGUGGCAAAAGCUAAAAUACAUACUGGUCACUAGCUUCUAGGGUUUCCAAUCGAAACCAGUUACUGUCCAAACUCUGUUCCAGUGCACACAGGACCAAGAAGAAUACCUCCAAGCGUAUGUCCGAAGGUUCCUGCGAUUGAGAGUUCAGGCGCCUACAGUGCCCAAUGAGAUUGUCAUUGAGGCCAUGAUCAAGGGGUUCAGACCAGGACCAACGGCGCAAUACUUUGCAAGGAAGCCACCACAAACCCUAGAGAAGCCGACGAUGAUUUUCGGCAAAGAAGGCAAGAAGCCUACAGAUACUCUGAGAUGGCCAGGGGCUUCGGAGGAAGAUUUCACCCUAGGCAUGUCAGGUCAAUCCAUAAUACCAGCUCAAGUGACGACAAGGGAAACCAUACCCAAAGGCAGCAACACAGCUCUCAGUCGUCAGGAGCACAACAAAGCUCUUUGAGGCCACCGGCUCCAAGAGGUAGAGGGGGGAGAAGCUUCGGAGGAAGAUAUGGAGAUCAGCCCAGUAAACAGUUUUGUUUGUUCUGCGGUGAAGAUAAGGGGCAUACCACAAGAACGUGCCAAGUUAUGAUUCAGAAGCAGAAAGAAAUUGCUGAAGCUGAAGCACGUUCGAAUCAGCCGAAGCAGGUUCUGCAUACUGCUUCGUGCUACUCUCCCUACGUCCCGGAGUAUGUAGACAAUCAACAGCCUACGACCUUGGUCGCUUCGGCAAGCCAUUCUCAAGCUUCCUGGGCCCAGUUGCCACCACCACCACCGCUAGCACAUGCUCUGGUCCGCAAUCAAUAGCCAGAAGGGCACCACCAUGCUUAGUAAUAGCGCGACCUUCGGGAGGAGUCCGAAGCUCGCACAGUCAACAACAUUGUGCCUAAGUCGAAGCACAUCUAUUAAAGGUGCCACGGUGAUUCAAUUAAAGAAUAUCUUACCCUAAUGUAUCUUAGUUUUUCCGCCAUUUUAUUUUCUUGCAUGAAAAACAAUUCACGAAGGAUUAAUUUCCAAUUUGAUGUAAUAAUACCGUGGUCGCACCAUCGAGUGUGGAGCGCAUCGCCUUAACAAUACUUCCGAAGCUACAAAGACGUUCCUAAGGGAGCGCGGAGUAAGUUCUGAAGCUACAAAGUUGUUCAUAAGGGAGCGCAGAGUAAGUUCCGAAGCUCAAAAGUCGUUCUUAAGUGAAUGCAGAGCCAAGAUGCCACCAAAAUAAAAGGUGAAGAAGCUCAAAAGUCAUUCCUAAGGGGAUGCAGAGCUUAAAUGCCACCGAAAUAGAAGGUGAAGAAGUUCCAAAGUCGUUCCUAAGGGGAUGCAGAGCUUAGCUCCAAAGAUGUUCCUAAGGGGAUGCAGAGCUGAAAUAUAACCUAAGUAAAAAGUGAAGAGACUCAAAAGUCGUUCCUAAGGGGAUGCAGAGUCUGGAUGCAUUUUCGAGUGGGUGUGUUUCUUCGGCAUAAACAUCAUGCUGUAUCAUAUCAUCACAUCAUUUCUCAUAGCAUUACAUCAUACAUCACAUCACAUCAGCAACAGAACUGUGGAGAAGCAAAGAUGCUUCUUUCAAAAUAUUUGAUGAAUGGAACAAUGGGCUGAAGCAGAAAGUGUACCUUCAACAGCUAUAAUUUUACAUACCAAGAAAAAUCUUCGUCGACAAACAAUAUUAUAUAACAGCUACGACAUAAGAAGGGGUGAUUUUUUAUUUGUGAAGCAUGAAAAGAAGGGAAGGUGUUUUUUCACCAAAGGCUAAAAAACAGGUAAGUACAUACAUUUCAUGCAUCACAAAGAAAUAUAUUACAUUAAUAUACAAACAAAUGUUCGAUGUUCGACUCAUACACGAAUAUUACAUUUCUUAGUACACAAGAAUUUAGUCUUCUUUCAAUAUUUUCUCGGUAGCUUCAUGUAGGAGUUUGUUGACAGCUUCAUCAACGGCUUCUUCGGCAAUCCUUAUCGUUUCUAAUGCCCCCCUCAUGGCCGGAUCGGCCUCGGGAUCAUAUGGCUCAGGCGGUGGUGAAAAAUCAGCUGUAAUAAAGAACAAGUUGUUAAUAUCAAAGCCAGAAACAAAUACUGAAGCUAAAAUUCAGUAAUAAUACCUAUACGCCUUGCGCGCUCAGCAACCUCUUGGCUCGCUUAGCUUAUUCUCGAGCAUCAUGGGAUUCUUUUUCAUUUGUCUUUAUAGCUUCAUCGGCUAUCUCACGGCCACCUUUCAUCCAAACAUUGGAAUAAAACUUCUCGCCCAUCAAAGUAGCUUCGGCCGAAGGCUCCUUCAUGUCGUCUAUGGAGAAGACGGCUUCCGCCUGGGCUGCAGUUUUAACAUGUUCACAGCCAGUUUUCUCCAAAACUGCUGCAACCCCUCGGGCACCGGCGAAGGCACAAAAAUCCUCGCGUUCGCUAAGUAUUUCCUCAAAAGCUUCAACUUCUUCGCAAAUCCAUUGAACGACUCCUUUUGGAUCGCCUCGAAUAAAUUUUUGCUCCGAUGAGUAUGCACCCACCUUUGCAAAACUGUCUUUCAGUUUCUUUGCAUAGUCCAUGGAUACUUCGUAGCAUUUCUCUCUGGAACCCCGAAGUUCUUCAACAUUCUUCUCAAGCCUGGAGCUUGUCCAUUCACUUAUAUCUUACUUUGCCUUAGCAAGUUCAAUAUUUUCGCUCAUUUCGGCAAGUUUUUUGUGAAGGUCUUCGACUUCGGCUUGGUGAGCUUCGGAUUGUGCAUUAAGUUUUGCUUCGUUGCUCUUCAGUUUAUCCACCAAGGAAAGCAGUAUUUUAUCUUUUUCAAGCGCCUCGUUCCUUAAUGUAAUAACUUAUGACCGAAGGUUCCCAAGGGCUAUUUGGCAGCUUUCAUCUUCUGCAUUCUUUUGUGCCCUUAAAGCCUUGCUUAGGAUUAAUGCCUACAAAAAAUGAAGGAUCAGCACACAACAAUAAGAAAAGAUACAAAAAGUAAUCUGCUUAUAAGCUAAAAUGUCCUCACCAUCAGACUGUUAUAAGCAAGGAUGUCUGCAAGGUCAUCUUUCGACAUUGCAGACAACCCAAGCUCUAGCUUCGGGAAACCUAUAUUUUUUGCCAUCUCCCGACAAACAAAUAUUUUCUUGUUGUCUGGAAGGCAAUACAAAAAAUCAUCUUCGUCAGUGCCAUUAAACAUGAGGGAUCCUGGGGGAUACUUCAGAUCCUUAGCAAAUUGCCUAGCUUCGGCAACCUGCUCCUCUGAUAGUUUUUCCCUACCGCGUGACACACUAUAAAUUCCGAUCCCUCAGUAGAAGCUUCAACGGCAAGGAAUUCAGAUUCUUUGCUGGUUCUCUCUUUUCCUAACGGUAACGGAGCUUUUUCAGCAUCCAAAGGUCCUUUUUCAGCAUCCUUUUCAAUAAGCUCUGCAGGCCCUAUUUCUGCGGGAACUGAGGGCCCAGCUUCAGCUUCAACCCAAGUUAUGAUAGCUUCGGCAGUUUCCUUUGUACUUUUCUUACCCAUGCUAGGUACUUCUGUAGAGGCAGGAGUUAGUACUUUUGUCGAUUCCAUGACAGCAUCCAGUACACUAGCCAUUCUCCUCCUUUUUGGAGUUAUCAAAGUAGUUUUUUGAAUCUUCGGCAAUUCUGCCUCUGGCCGUGAAAAAGUUUUUGGCUGCUCCGCUGCUAUCUUCAGAAUUGGCUCUUCGGCUGAUCCCAAUAUGGCUUCGGCAGUAGCGAGAUGAUUUUGCUCAGCUGCAGAAGAAGACCCUUCAACAGGCUUUGACACUUUGGCCGUCUCAGAGUGCCUGGGCCGGUGUGUCAAGACUUUGCCAUUUUUCCCUUCGGCGUGGCAGAGAUUGCCGAAGCAGUAGCCUUCCUUUUCUUUCCCUGCUUUCGCGAGGGAUAACAAUAGUCUGGGUACACAAAACCAAUUACAUCAAAAACCCUAUUUAAUCUCUUCUUGCCUCGUCCUCCGAAGGCCAAUGUCAUGGCAUCGUCUUCGGCCCUUGUGUAGGCCCCAAGCAAUUCGUCACUAGUAGCCUCAAUGCAAUCCAACCAGUCAUCGUUCGGCUCAUCGAACUGAUCUCUGUAUCUGAAGGUGUAUUUCAGAUAAACUAAACUAACUUGACUGGACCCGGCCGCAGCUUCCUUCGACAUCUCCCAGCCACUUCCAAGAGGCCACACUCUGUAAGCAAUAUGCUCCUAGACUAAGUCCCUAGUGCCAAUAUAAGUACAUAAAGUGUUAAAGUCCGUAUGGCAUGCUUGAAUAUCAUGUCCAUGGACAGUGGUUGGCCUCCUAAUGCCGAAGCGAGACCAGAUAGGGCAUUGAAUGAUCCCCUUUAUAUCUUCUCUUUCAACUAAGUUGUUCUUCACAUAAAACCACUCUUGCAUCCAGGCUCCUGGCCACCUCUUCCAAAAUGUUGGGACGGGAUAGCUCACACCAGAGCGAGGCAUGAAGCCGUAACAACGAAAAUUAUUAUGAUAUUGUUCUAUGCCAGUAGCCUUUGUCUCAUAGGACAGGUCAUGCAUGUUGCAGAAGCAUUUUGCAUUCGGCUCUAAACCCUGGCCCAAAUGAAAACUCCCAUUCUGAUGAUAUCUUCGGGGGUAAUUUGAUGAAGGUAAAUUUCAAAAGUCUUCAAAACUUCAACUAAAAAUUUGUUCAGGGAGAAUCGAAGCCCUGCUUUCAUAGAACUCCUGUAGACAACAACUUCGUCUGCUUCGGGCAUAGGGGCACUGCUAUCUCCUCUGGCCCUCAUGAUAGAAAUAUCGCGGAAGUAUCUUCCUUUCAUUGCAUCAAUCUGACUCUGUUUGAUGGUUGAUUUAGCAAAGAUGGUAUGACUCGGUCGCCAGGGCUGAUCUUCGACAUCUUCGUUUCCACUUUCUAAGUCAAAACUUUCACUAUCGCUGGAAUCUUCAGACAACCCAACCAACAUCUCAUUGGUGAUCUUCUUCAUAUUUGUCUUCUCCAUAGCUUCAUAAAACCCGGCCAAUGCAGGGUCAGCAAUCUUCUUCUCUUUAGCCAUUUAGACAACGAUUGCACGAUUGUCGAAGCUUAAAACUCAAUCAAAACUCGACAGAGCAAGAGAAUUCAGAAUGUCUAAAAUAGCGCAAGCAACUGAAAUAGCACAGCAAAUGCUGCCAAUGCGAGUUUCUAUUUAUAUGCCUCACGAUUUGGUGGGCCAUACAUGUCAGUGGCUUUCGCUAUUCUAGCGAAGGGAAGGUGUUUUUUCGGAUCUUCGGUUAAAGGCCUUCGUUCACGUCACAGUCUAAAUUUGUUACAAAGAAACAAAUUAAUACUACGAGGGGCUACUGUUGGGGGCCUUCCUUUUCCGAAGGUCCUCAAAAACGUGGCUAACCAUAUGUUUUCAGUAUGACAUAGACUAUUAUAGGAAGCUUCGGCUUUGGGAUGAAGGCGUGUGAUAUGAGGAUACAACCCGAAUGCAACAUGGAUGGACGUCGAAGCUAUGGCUAAAGGAGCUUCAGCUUGGCAUGUUAGCGAAGAUGAAGGACGAAACCGACCUAAGGGAGAAAAGACUACUUAGUCCUUGAUAGUUUGCAUUAUGAUUAAGAGUAGAUGUCAGGGGCAUGAAUGUAAUCUUAUCCGGGCUAUGUCCCGUGCCUAUAAAUAGAUGAGAAGUAACACCGUACUGUUCACGCUGGAUUGUAAUCGCUCCUACAUCACUCUCGCAUCUUCACCUUUUGGCAAGCCGAAGGUAUCAAUGUAAUACAAAUAUUGAUUAUGUUUAUUCAUGCUUAUGAAAUGAGAAUAUAAAUAGCUUGCUGAUUCAUAACCAUUAUUUAUAUUCUUUUGUAUUUCAUGUACCCUUAUUUAUAUGUGUUCACUGAGAUGAUGAAGGUAUGCCCUUCAUGACCUUCGUCCGGAAACCAUUAUAUCCAAAAGGAGAUAAUGCUUCGAAGGACGAAGGUCUCUAAUUAUUGACAAUCGUGUUGUCUUGUUCUUGAUGUAUAGCAUUUGGGAAUAAGGACCAAUAGCUUGCUUCUUUGCCGAGUGCCAAGGCCACAGCACUCGGCAAAGAGUCUUUACCGGUGCGCAGGUGUGCCUUCUUUGCCGAGUGCUAUGACAUUGACACUCGGCAAAGUAUCUCUUUGUCGAGUGUAACACUCGACAAAGUGACCAGAUUAUCCCUUUUUAUUUGUUUUUGCUAUUCCAUCCAAACAAAUAAAAGAUAUAUCGCAUAAUCAUCACAUAUACAUCAUAGAUAUCACAUAAUCAUCGCAUACAUAAUAGAGACUGCAUAUUUCACAAAAAACACAAAUCUCACAAGUUUUUCUCAAACAUGUCCAUGUUCAUACCAAGAUUCACUAACAUAAGUAUCACACAACUCUAAAACAUAAGUUUUUCACAAACAUAAGUUUAGGACAAGUUUAUCACACAAGCUAAGAGAAGAUCAUGAGCGAGGUGGGCGGCUGGACUGGUGCGGCGACGGGCUGGGCGAUCCACGAGGGUUGUUGGAUGCCGCCCUAGAUUGUCCCUGCACAGAGAAGAGAUUGCCUGUGUUAUACUAGAUAAAUAUACAUCAUGCAGGACUAGAAUUUUGAUACUCAUAGGAGUAUGGAACUGAGCAGGGUCAACUGGAGGGAACAACGGAGGUGGUGGAGCAAAACCCUGUGCGGUGCCAAGGCUCUGCAUGUACUGGAACAUCUCUGCCAUCCUCUGUUGAUUUUCCAUGUGGGCCUCCCGCUCCGCCAUCAUCCUCGCCUCCAUAUCCUACCGUUCCCUCCUCUCUUCUUCUAGCUAGGCAUAUAAUAUUUCAACCCAGUGUUAUAAUAACUCAAAGAGAAGGUAUAUAACUCAAGGAAAGACGAGUUACAGAAGCACUAACCUGGAGUUGUUGUAUCUCAUGAUGUGAGUUGUCCUGUCGAGGUCGUAUGGCUGGGCUUGAGCUCGUGGUCCUUGCUCGCACCUGAGACAGAGUGGGAGUGGACAACGAGUCGAUUGUCCCGUCGGCAAUCCAGUACCUCCCAUGCCUCUUGCCUCCUCUGACCCUCAUGAGAACAUCUCCGUCGAUUUCCUUGGUCCUCGGAUCGUAAUCUGGCCCAUGGACCUCAUGUGACAUGGCAGUGUACUCACUUAGGCGGUUGUAGACGGCGGAGUUGCUAUAUGCCUCGGGCCCGUCAUCCGGGUUGUAGGUGACAUCGGACGUCGCCUUUCCCUUGUGGGCCAUAGCAUAAACCGAGAAGAUGGAGCAUGGCUGGCCACCAUGUAACACCAAAUGCAAUAAAAUCAAUGAGAUAGUUAGAAAUAAUAUCUAAACCAGUGCUAUAUACCUAAAUAAAAAGAGGGCGUACCCAUGCUUCUACAUAUUUCCAGAGGUUGCGACUGCCUUGGUGGUGGGAGGGACCUUACAUCAUCAAAUGUCGUUCCAUGCUAGCGUUGUGCGCCUCGUCCCACUUAGGCGAGCACCACCUAUCCACCAUCUGCUCCUAGCACUGAGGAUGCGCGGCGCACCAAUAAGGAAUCAUCUACAAACUAAAACAAGUACAUUGCAUAUCAGAAGAUAAAAUUAAGCAAUUUUUUUCACGAAUAUUAAAGUGAUGUAUUUACCUGCAAGUAUUGGUCCCUAGUCAACGACAUGGUUCGGGCCUCUUGUUUGGUCACCUUCUCUCUAAGGACGGAGCCAUGGUAGAUGAUGAUGACCUAGAUUCGUGCAUCGUAGUGCAUGUCCACGACGAGCUUCUUACAGCUUGUGGUGGCCACCACAUUUGCCCUGGCCUCGUAUCCAGCCUCGCAUCUGAAGAAAUCCUACAUACAAAGGCGAUAUAUCCAUACAUUAUUUCAAGUAUGUGCAACAAAUGCGACAUAUUUUACAAUAUAGUAAGACUUACUCAUAGCUUUUGCUUCACCCGCUCUGCCAUGUUGUUAAAUUCCCUAUCGUCCUAGUCUACUGCAUCAGGGGUGACGACGUAGUGGUCGAAGGUGUAGGCAGUAGGUUGGGCCCACCACUCCAGCGUACUCAACCAGUCCAGGGAAGUGUUCCCUACACAUAAGGCCAAGGAUGCCAUUGGGUUGUGGUCGUGACUCCCUGCAUUCUCCACAACCUUUCAAGACCUGUCCAAGUGAUAAAUAAAAAGUAUUAGUUUAUAUUAUGAAUUUGAACACAUAAUAUGAACAAACAGUGAGAACAUAAAAUUACAUGUCUCUCCCCAUCCUUCUGAAUCAGCGACCGCCUAUCUCGAAGUAUGGGACGCUGAGGGAGACUCGUGGGACCUCGCUGGUAGACGUUCCUCGAAUCUGAAGCACCAGAACCUGAGGCGUCUUGCUGAGCGUCGUCGUCGUCCUACUGUGUCGCAUCGAUAACGACCUGCUGCUGGACGUCGUCAUCCUGUUGUGCCUUCUUCGCCUUCCUACGGGUGCUCCUCCUCCCCCUCCUUGUCCUCAUCCCACCGCCCACCAUAUUUGUCCAACAACCUGUAAUUAAGGGUAAGCAAAUAAGCACAUAUAAAAAAGUUUAUUUACAAAUAGGCGUGAAAUAAAAAAAAUAGCAUUACAUCGUUUAAAAAAAUCUUCAUAUGUGUCGGGGUUAGCCAGAUCAUAAGUGUCAUCAUCACAAUCAACCAUUUCAUAGUCAACACCAUCUGAAGGCGCAAGUUCUUCAUUAAUGUCAUUGCCUUCAAGUAAUUCUAAGUCAUUCUCAUUUUGCACCUCAUCAACAACCAUUUCAAUAUCUACUUCCAUUCCGAUAGCUUCGGUUAAGUCUAUCUCAAAUCACCCUUCUAGCCCAUAUUCUUGGAAGAACUCUCCAUCAUAUGUAUCCGGGUCUAAGUUAUAAUCUUCAUCAUUUGGAACAGGUAAUUUACCGUGCAGUGAUACCUUAUACACAACAUCCCAACCCAUCCAUGCCUCAUAUAGGAGAUGAAGAAUCAAAUGCUGCAUUGGAUUGAAGAAGUCGAGUGGAAAUAUCUUCUCAAGCUUACACAAAAACACGGGUGUCAAUCUUUCCAAGUCUGCAAUCACGGACCAAGAUAACUCUUUCACACAAAGCUGGCAGAAUAAAUAGCUGAACUUUGUAAGCGCUAGCCAUACAUGCUCAGGGACAUAGCCUCGAACCAUCGUCGGAAGAAUCUGUUCAAUCCAUAAGUGGAAGUCAUGACUCUUCAUCCCUAAGACUCACAGAGUAGAUAAGUUCACCCCCCUACUUAGGUUAGCUGCAUACCCAUCAGGAAACAUCAACAUCUUGAUCCACUAAAGUACUUCCUUCCUCUGGGCCCUACUUAGGACGAAAUCGGCCUUAGACCUUCUCCAUGUCUUUCCACCACUAGGCGGCUUCAUUUCUUGGUUUGGUCUAUCACAUAACGCUGUCAGAUCCACUCUUGUCUUUACAUUAUCCUUUGACUUAUCAGGAAUGUCCAUAAUUGUUGCCCAAAGUGCCUCGGCGACAUUCUUUUCAGUGUACAUCAAGUCAAUGUUGUGUGGAAGGAGUGGGUCAUCAUAAUAGGGGAGCCGAGUCAAGCCCGACUUAUGUGUCCACAUAUGCUGCUCACCAUAUCCCACAAAUACACCUUCUGGAUUGGCCACGAGCCCAUCUAUUUGUUGACGAAUUUCGGCACCAGUCAUCAUUGCAGGUGGUUGGUCUGUCACUACAACACCUUUCGUAAAGUUAUUGAUGUCUAGGCGGAAUGGAUGGUUAGGAGGGAGAAAUUGUUGAUGUUUAUCGAACAACGAAUAUUUGCCACCCUUUUUCAACCAAAUGAACUUAAGAGCUUCCUUACAAACUAGGCAUGGGAACUUACUGUGAACACAAUAGACACAGAAUAGCCCAUACGCCGGUAAGUCAUGCAUGGCGUACUAGUACCAAACAUGCAUUUUGAAGUUUUUCUUCGUAGCUCGGUUAUACGUCCAUACCCCUUCCUCCCAAGCAUGUACGAUUCAUCAAUCAAAGGCUCCAUGUACACGCCCAUUUUAUUCCCCGGGUGUCCGAGAAUUAUCAACGACACAAAUAUGUUCUGCCUUUAAAAGCAUACACCGGGGGGAGAUUGAUUGGGAUAACAAACACGGGCCAACAUGUGUAUGGGGCAGCGCUCAUUCCAUAGGGAUUGAACCCAUCUGUGGCCAGCGCAACACGUACAUUAUGAGCCUCUUCAGCUUUCUCGCGGUAAAUGGCAUCAAAGUGUUUCCAUGCUUCACCAUCGGAUGUGUGCACCAUCUUAUCAUGAUUGUAUCGUUUGCCAUUUUUGUGCCAUGUCAUCUGUUUCGCGGAUUCCUCAGUCAUGUAUAGACGCUGGAUCCUCGGUGUGAACGGAAGGUGGUGUAGGAUUGUCACGGGGAUGUCGAGCUGCCUAUCAUGUCCAUCACCAAAGUCUACCUCCAUGAACCUAGACGAUUUACACUUCGGACAGUACUUUGCUUCCGUGUAUUCUUUCCUAAAUAGCACGCAGUCCUUCGGACAAGCAUGUAUCUGCUCAUAUGUCAUCUUGAGUGCACGGAGGAGUUUCUGUGUGUUGGGGACCUUCGGCAUCCGAAGGUCCUCAAAAACGGGAUUUAACAGUAUUUCUGGAAGUAUAAUGUGUGAGCAGGUACCUUCAGACUCAAGUCGGUAUCACGGCAGGAGAAGACCCGGAUAAUACGAAGGUCUUGAUACAACGCCGAAGAUGUUAGCAGGAAAGCUUCGGCAUGGUUGCAGAAAAUGAAACCGACUUAAAGAUGAAAAGGCUAUUCAGACCUCGAUAGAUUACUAUAGAAUUAUUAUCAAAUGUAAAGGGCAUGAAUGUAAUUUUGUAUGGGCUGUGUCCCGUGCCUAUAAAUAGGUGAACAGAACCCCCGUACUGUUCACGCUGACUUGGCAUUCGCUUUUUGCGUCACGCUUGUACUGUCAUCUCCUUCCGAUUGAAGGUACACUUGUAAUUCAACGAUAUUUCUGUUUAUGUCUGAUAAUAAUAUAUAAUUGUUCAUAUUGUCUUUUAUGUUCUUUACAUUUCAUUCUUCGUCAUUGCUUAAUGAAUUUAUGAAGGUACGUCCUUCAUAACCUUCGUCCGUAAACCAUUAUAUCCUAAGGGAAAUAAUGUUUCGGAGGGCGAAGGACUUUAACGAUUAACAUUUUCUAUGUUGCCUUGUUCUUAACUCAUAGCACUUGAGAACAAGUCCCCAACAUUGGCGCCCACCUCCGGUGAACUCACUUCCACUCUUUGAAGUUUUUUGAACACCUUCGGCGAUCAUAAAUCUUCGUUAUGGCGCCGAAGAAAGCUUCAGCGACUGGGGCUGCAGCUCUGCAACCACUGGACCACAAUCAGGAGACAGUUUCCCUGCGGGAGGCCCGAAGCCAGAAAAGGAAGGCUGUCAGUCCGACACCACCAGAGGACGAGAUAGAUCAAGAAAUCAGAGAUAUGGAGAUGCUUCAUCAACAAGUACAGAGGAAGAAAGAAAAGAUGGCCAGGCUAGCUGAACUGCAGAGGCAGAUAGACGAAGCCUCUGAAGAAGUUCGUCAUCUUGCUCAGGAUGAGCAACACCGAAGGCCUCAGCACCAAGACCUUCAUCAGGAGGGUUUUCCCAACGAAGAUGACUGGUAUGACAAUUUCCAUCAUGGGAAUUUUGUUUUUGAUGAUGCUUCUCCUCUGUCCGCUGAGCUGCAGGCUACACCUUGGCCUCCGUCCUACAAGCCGCCUCAGCUUCCCGUAUUCGAUGGUCACUCAGACCCGAAGCAGUUUUUGAUGAGCUACGAAGCAACAGUAUCUUCGUAUGGUGGCAAUGCUUCAGUCAUGGCCAAAUCUUUCGUUAUGGCUGUCAGAAGUGUUGCUCAAACCUGGUAUUCCUCCCUUCGACCAGGAACGAUCACUUCAUGGCAGAAGCUGAAGGACUUGUUGUUAACUAGCUUUCAAGGAUUUCAGACGAAGCCGGUCACUGCUCAGGCUCUGUUCCAGUGCACCCAGGAUCACGAAGAAUACCUUCAGGCGUAUGUCCGAAGGUUCUUGCGUUUGAGGGCACAGGCACCAACGGUGCCCAAUGAAAUUGUCAUCGAGGCCAUGAUCAAGGGGCUUCGGCCAGGACCGUCAGCUCAGUACUUCGCCAGGAAGCCUCCUCAAACUUUGGAGAAGCUGCUCCAGAAGAUGGACGAGUACAUUCGGGCCGAUAAUGAUUUUCGCCAAAGAAGGGAGGAGGCUUUCAGGUUUUCUGAAAUGACCAGGGGCUUCGGAGGGAGGUUCUACCCGAGGCACGUGAGAUCAAUUCAUAACUCUACACAAAAAUGAUGAUAGAGGAAGCCAACAGCAAAGGCCACAAUGCUCCUCACAGGCUUCGGGGCAACAGCAAAGCUCCUUCCGACCACCAGCUCCAAGAGGCAGAGGCGCCAGGGGCUUUGGAGGAAGAUUUGGAGAUCAACCGAGAAGAAUCUUUUGCUUAUUCUGCGGUGAGAACAAAGGCCAUACUACCAGGAUGUGCCAUGUUACUAUUCAGAAGCAAAAGGAAAUAGCUGAAGCCGCAGCACAACAAGCUCAGCCGAAGCAGGUCAUGCAUACAACUUCGUAUCAUUCGCCCUACAUCCCAGAAUAUGUGGGCAACCAUCCUGCAGUUUCUGUUGCUUCGGCAAGUCAGCCUCAAGCUUCCUGGCAACAGCCUCCGCCUCCACCUCCGUUGCAACAAGGCCAGCAACCAGAAGGGAGCCAGUAUGCUCCACACCAGAGGGACUUCAGAGAGCAGUCCGAAGCUCGUACAGUCAAUAGCACUGUGCCAGAGUCAAAGCACAUCUAUUGACGAAUAUCCUACCUUAAUAGCAAUCUUUUUCAUUCAGUUUUAUUUUCUGUAAUAAAGGACAUUGUUUAGGUUUCAUGUAAUUAGUUUCGUUGAUUCCUACAAGAAAAAUAUGUUUUCCUCACAGGCUUAAAUUGAUUGAAGUUCAAAGACUUGUGAUAAAAAAAAGGACCUUCGAACUAUCGAAAAUUCUUCGAAGCAACAAAAAGUCGUUCUAAGGAACGCAGAGUAAGUUUGCCGAAGUCACAAAAAGUCGUUCCAAAGGGAGCGCAGUGUAAGUUUUCUGCUCCAAAGUCGUUCCAAAGGGAAUGCAGAGCAUACAGCGAAAAGUCAACGCUGAUACCGCCUAAGUAAAAGGCGAAGCGCGAAAAGUCAACGCGAAUACCGCUGAAAGUAAAAGGCGAAGAAGCUCCUAAGGGAGGCUUACAGCGAAAAAUAAACGCUGAUUCCGCUGAAGUAAAAGGCGAAGAAGCUCCUAAGGGAGGCUUAUAAAAGAUGUGUUUUAUUGCAGGGAUGCGUAUGUAUCUUCGGAAUAAACGUCAUCUCACAUAACAUAACAUCAUCGCAUCAUUUCGCAUAGCAUAAGCAUCAUACAUCAUUUUGCACAUGGCACAAGAGGUGGACACAUUAUUAAUCUACAGAAGAACGCUUUGAAAAAAGGGAGAAAUCAAAGUCACAAAAAGAUACAUCAUUGAUCUUCGGAAGUGUAUCUUCGGAAGUGUAGCUUCGGAAAAUAUCUUCACGAAGCCUGGAUAUUAAUCAUCAGAACAUUGGAUAUUGUUGUGACAAAGAAAAAUUCUUCUUCACGAAGCAUGAAAAGAAGGGAAGGUGUUUUUUCGUCAAAGACUCAAAAGUGGUACGUGUAAAGUUUCAUGCAUCGUAAAGAAUUGACUAACAAAAAUAGGUAUAUUACAUUUGGGGUUACAAAAUGUUACAGUAUAUUACAUUUCAGAAAGUUUUCACAAAAAUACUUAAUCUUCUCUCAAAACGACUUCUGCAGCCUCGUUCAGGAGCCGAUUGACGACUUCGUCCAUAAUAUCUUCAGCCAUCUUUUUAAUUUCGUCGUCUCCUUUCGGCUGAGGGCCCGAAGACGCUUUAGCACGAUCUGAAGUAAGACAGCAUGCGGCUACAUUGCUAUUACAAAUCGCAAACAAAUCUUAAAGCCUAAGAUUACAACACGAUAAAAACUAUUAGUUAAUACCUAAUUGACCUUCGGCCUCUGCGCUCUUUUCAGCAGCCUCAGCCACUUCUCUAGCAUCGUGAAUGCCCUUUUCACUUCUUCGAAUAAUUUCUCCGGCCAUUUCUCAGCCACCAUUAUCCCAGAUAUCGGUAAAACAUUUUCCACCAAUUAUACUAGCUUCGGCCGAAGGAUCUCUUGCAUCUUCAAAGGGCAAAGCAGCUUCGGAUUGUGCUAAAAUUUUUACAUGUUCGCAGCCCUUCUUCUCUAAGAUGGUGGCAAUCCCUCUGGCACCAGAGAAGGCACAUAUAUCUCCUCGGCUAUUUAAAAUUUCUUCGAAGGCUUCAGCUUCGUGGUCGAUCCAUUCGAUGACACCUUCGGGAUUGCUUCUCGAAAAGUUUUCCUCACUUGAGAAUGCGCCGACCUUGGCGAAGCUAGCCUUUAGCUUCUUAACACAAUCUAUAGAUUUAUUAUAGCAUCUCUUUUUGGACGAACGAAGCUCUUCAACAGUCACUUCUAGGUGAUCUGCCCAUUGAUCGCUGAGUUCACGCUUUGUUUCUUCAAGUAUGCGUUCUUCCUUGGCUCUGGCCAGUUGUUUCCGAAGAUCUUCAAUUUCGCGCUUCUGAGCUUCAGCUUGACCUUUAAAAGCAGCUUCGUCUUCCUUUAUUUUAUUUAUCAAUGAGUAUAAUAUUUUAUCUUUUUCGAGACCUUCGUUCCUCAGUUCAAUUACUUCGGAACGAAGGUUGCUCAGGGCUAUAGUACACCCUUCGUCUUCAGCAUCUUUCUGUGCCCUGAGGGCAUUGCUAAGUAUCAGGCCCUGCAAAGAGAAAUAUGUGUGCGUCAAUAGGUUUAAACAAACGAAAAAUACAAGGAUUUCAUUUCUCGCACCUUUAAGCUAUUGUAAGCCAGGCUGUCGGCCAGAUCGUUCUUCGACAGCACCGAGAGCCCGUCUUCUAAAGUUGGGAAUCCGAAGCUCUUGCUCAUCUCCCGACAGACAGAAAUUUCCUUGCUAUCGGGGAGACAAUACAAGAAGUCUUCUUCUCCACUGCCAUUGAAUAUUAACGCCCCCUUUGGAUAUUUCAGUUUUUGGGCGUAGUGCUGGGCCUCUUGCUCUUCUUUUUCUGAUAGUUUUUUCCCCGAAGCAUGGCGAACAAUAUAAUCACGAACUUUGGGGGAUGCUUCGGGGGCAAUGGCACCGGUUUCUUCAACAAAAGUUGGCUUUGUUAUUUUUUCUGCCUCACUUUCCAAGGAUUUUAUCUUUGCAGGCUCUGAGGGCCCAGCUUCGGCUUUAGUCUCUUGCCCUGAAGCUUUAGAUCCAGAAAUUUCAGUUGUUUCAGGAAUGACAGCAGCCCUCUUCGGAGGUGUGCUUGAAGAUUUGAUCGUUUCCAGUACAUCUAGCACAUUAGCCAUUCUCUUUCUUUUCGGAGUCACUGCUGGCACUUUCACUAUCUCAAUGUUUGCUGCAGGACUCAAAACUUCUGAUGUUUUGGAUCCCUCAGUUGAUUCUUUUACCUUUUCCAUUUUUUCUGUGGACGGCGCUUCGGCUUUCUCUUUCGUUUCUGAUAACAAAAUUUUUGAUUGUUCCAAUUCUAUCUUUGUUGGCACUUCGGCCGUUUCUGCGACUUCUGGCAGCAAGGUUGGCUCGGUUGGUUUUUCAGCUUCGGUGGCCGAAGAAGUUUCUCCGGUAAACUCAGGCACCGAAGCUGGUUCAAUAUAGCGCGGCCGAUGCGUAAGGACCUUUAUCUUCUUUCUUUUCGGUUCUGGCUCGCUAGGAGCAGUUGCAGCUUCUUCUUUUGCAGAGGUUGUGUUUUUUCUCUUCUGCCUUCGAAUGGGAUAGCAAUAGUCAGGGUAGACAAACCCGAUUGCAUCAAAUACCCGAUUCAGCCUCUUCUUUUUUCGGCCUCCGAAGGCUGCUGACAUUGCAGUAUCUUCGGCCUUCGAAUAGGUCCCAAGCAGCUCAUCACUUAAAUUUUCAAUGCUUUUUAACCAGUCAUCAUCUGGUUCAACGAAUUUAUCUCCAAACUUAAAAGUGUACUUCAACCUGAUAAGUCCACCUUCGUCGGCCUCUUUUAUGGUUUCUUGUGGCAUUUCCCAUUUCUCCGCAAGUGGCCAUACCCUGAAGGCGAUAUGCUCUUGUACUAAGUCCCUCGUUCCAAUAAAAGAACAGAUAACACCGAAGGCCCUCUGGCAUUCUUCGGCAGCCUCACUCAUUUCAACCUUCGGCCUCCGAAGGCCGAAGCUUUGCCAAAUAGGGCGCAUAAUUAUACCUUUGAUAUCUUCUCGCGCUGUCAGAUCAUUCUUCACAUAAAACCAUUCUGUCAUCCAGUCGCCGGGCCAUCUCUUCCGAAAGGUCGGCACGGGACAGCUUGACCCGGACCGAGAAACGAAAUUGUAGCAGCCAAAAUUAUUGUGAUACUGUUCCUUACCCCAAGGUUUUGUUUCGUAUGAUAAUUCGUGUAUAUUGCAGAAACUUUUUGCAUCAGGCUUCAGACCUUGGCUUCUCACGGCCCACACGAAGAUAUUUAGCCUUAUAAUUGCCUCAGGGGUAAGUUGAUGGAGAUAGACUUCGAAUAUUUUCAGUACCUCCACAACGAAGCUGCUCAAGGGAAAUCGCAGUCCAGCUUUCAAAAAGCUUCGGUACACUACGACUUCAUUCUCUUCAGGGUGUGGGCAAGUUUUUUCCCCUUCGUCGGCCCUCACAAUGGACAAAUCCCGGAAAUACCUUCCUCUCAUGUUGACAAGAUGAUUCUCUUUGAUAGUUGAUUUACCAUAAACUGAAUGGCUUGGUCGCCAGGGACGAUCUUCGGAGUCCUCACCACCACUGUCCACAUCAUAGCUGUCACUGUCACCAGUAUCUUCAGACAAACCUUCCAGAAUCUCCUUGGUAAUUUUUUCUGUAUUGGUCUUUGACAUCGCUAUAAGAAACCCCAAGUUUUUCUCUUCGUCAAGGCUCAGCUUCAUCUCAGCAACAGUCUUCUUAUCUUCAGACAUCUUCGGAGACGCUAAAAAACUAUUUUCAAAGCCGAAGCUUCAAAACUAAAAGCUUAGCAAAUCGCAGUGCACAAGAGCUAAAAAUUGAGUGAGCGGGAGUAGUUGGCCAGAAAGCGUGUCAAAUGAGUUUGCGGUAUGGCCGUAUUUAUACGCCAAGAGCGUUGAAAAUUCAAAGACCCCGCUUGUCAGUGAAUGUUGCUAUUCUAGCAAAGGGAAGGUGUUUUUUCGGACCUUCGGCGUAAAGCCUUCGUCCAUGUCGCAAUCUAAAUUCGUUAUUUUAAAACAAAUUAAUAUUGCGAGGGGCUACUGUUGGGGACCUUCGGCAUCCGAAGGUCCUCAAAAACGGGAUUUAACAGUAUUUCUGGAAGUAUAAUGUGUGAGCAGGUACCUUCGGACUCAAGUCGGUAUCACGGCAGGAGAAGACCCGGAUAAUACGAAGGUCUUGAUACAACGCCGAAGAUGUUAGCAGGAAAGCUUCGGCAUGGUUGCAGAAAAUAAAACCGACUUAAAGAUGAAAAGGCUAUUCAGACCUCGAUAGAUUAUAUAGAAUUAUUAUCAAAUGUAAAGGGCAUGAAUGUAAUUUUGUAUGGGCUGUGUCCCGUGCCUAUAAAUAGGUGAACAGAACCCCCGUACUGUUCACGCUGACUUGGCAUUCGCUUUUUGCGUCACGCUUGUACUGUCAUCUCCUUCCGAUUGAAGGUACACUUGUAAUUCAACGAUAUUUCUAUUUAUGUCUGAUAAUAAUAUAUAAUUGUUCAUAUUGUCUUUUAUAUUCUUUACAUUUCAUUCUUCGUCAUUGCUUAAUGAAUUUAUGAAGGUACGUCCUUCAUAACCUUCGUCCGUAAACCAUUAUAUCCUAAGGGAAAUAAUGUUUCGGAGGGCGAAGGACUUUAACGAUUAACAUUUUCUAUGUUGCCUUGUUCUUAACUCAUAGCACUUGAGAACAAGUCCCCAACACUGUGCCUCAUACAUGCUCUUUGGUAGAACGUGAUCCUCCGGAAGCAGGCUACCAAUAACUGUCAACAAGCAAUCGAAUGCGUCUUGACUCAUGUUAUACUGCGACUUGAACGCUAUUACAUGCCCAAUGGCAUCCAGUUGAGAAACCUUUGUCUGGCUGUGAAGGGGCUUCUGUGCCACGUCAAACAUGUCGUAGAACGCCUUUGCAAUCGGCUCUAGCUCGUCCUCCAUACAUCCUCCGACGAACUAUGCCUCAUGAUAGUCGUUCAACAUAUCUGCUACCCCCGCAUCAGCAUCAUAAUCCUCGACGUGUUGUCUCUGAAAGGGAAAUAAGCUUACACCUUUUCCUAAAUGAUUUUGGUGGUUGAAUUGCCCAACACAAAUAAUUGGACUAACUAGUUUGCUCUAGGUUAUAAGUUCUAUAGGUGCCAAAGGUUCAACACAUACCAAUAAAAAGUCCAAGAAAGGGUUCAAAUAAAAAGAGCAAAAGACAACCGAAGGCUGCCCUGGUCUGGCGCACUGGACUGUCCGAUGUGCCACCGGACAGUGUCCGGUGCACCAGAGAGAUUCACUCCAAACUUGCCACCUUCGGGAAUUUGGGAAGCCACUCCGCUAUAAUUCACCGGACUGUCCGGUGUGCCAAGCGGAGCAACGGUCGCCAACGCAAUGGUCGAGUUCAACGGUCGGCUGACAACGCUACAGUGCGCGGACUACGCGCGUAGAAGUCAGAGAAGGCGCAGAUGGCGCACCGGACAGUGAAGAGGACCUGUCUGGUGCACCAUCGGACUGUCCGGUGGCCCACAUGUCAGAAACUCCAACGGUCGAACCCUAACGGUUGGGUGACGUGGCUGGCGCACCGGACAGUGUCCGGUGGCGCACCGGACUGUCCGGUGCGCCCAUCGACAGCAGAGUUCCCCAACGACCACUUUGGUGGUUGGGGCUAUAAAUACCCCCCAACCACCACACUUCGAUGCAUCCAAGUUUUCAGCCAUCAAACCUCAUACAAGAGCUCUAGACUUCAUUCCAAGACACAAACAAAGAGAUCAAAUCCUCUCCCAAGUCUGGAAUCACUCCAAACAAAUUAGUGACUAGAGAGAGAGAGACUUUUGUGUUCUUUUAAGCUCUUGUGCUUGGAUCGCUUUUCUUCUUCCUCCUUUCUUGUUCUCAACUCAAUUGUAAUCAAAGCAAGAGACACCAAGUUGUGGUGGUCCUUGUAGUGGACUAAGUGUCCCGUUUGAUUGAAGAGAAAAGCUCACUCGGUCUAGGUGACCGUUUGAGAGAGGGAAAGGGUUGAAAGAGACCCGAUCUUUGUGACCACCUCAACGGGGAGUAGGUUUGCAAGAACCGAACCUCGGUAAAACAAAUCACCGUGUUCAUCUGUUUUAUUUCUUUGUUGAUUUGUUUUCCCUUUCUUUCGGACUUGAUUAUAUUUCUAACGCUAACCCUUGCUUGUAGUUGUGCUUAAACUUUAUAAAUUUCAGAUUUGCCUAUUCACCCCCCUCUAGGCGACUUUCAAUUGGUAUCAGAGCCCGGUACUUCAUUAGAGCCUAACCACUCGAUGUCAUGUCGGGAGCUCACGCCAAGAAGGAGAUGGUGACCGGCGAGAAGCCCGCCACAAGCCACGGGAAGGCUCCAUCGGGAGAGUCCGGCAACAAAAGGGAGGAAUCACCUCCCCACGUCAAGUCGCACCGGAGUGGUGACCAGAAGAAGAAAAUGAAGAAAGUGUUCUACUGUGAGACCGAUUCUUCGUCGCCAUCCACCUCCACGUCCGACGCGCCGUCCGUCACUUCUAAGCGCCAUGAGCGCAAGAAGUUUAGUAAGAUCUCCUUACGCUAUCCUCGUAUUUCCAAAUGCACUCCUUUACUUUCCGUCCCACUAGGCAAACCACCGGUUUUUGACGGUGAACAUUAUUGUAUGUGGAGUGAUAAAAUGAGGCACCAUCUAACCUCACUCCACGCUAGUAUUUGGGACAUUGUUGAGUUUGGUGCGCAGGAACCAUCCGUGGGGGAUGAAGGCUAUGAUUCGGAUGAGGUAGCCCAAAUCCAGCACUUCAACUCCCAAGCCACCACUAUACUCCUCGCCUCUCUAAGUCGAGAGGAGUAUAAUAAGGUGCAAGGGUUGAAGAGCGCCAAAGAGAUUUGGGACGUACUAAAGACCACACACGAAGGAGACGAGGUGACCAAGAUCACCAAGAGCGAAACGAUCGAGGGGGAGCUCGGUCGCUUCAUGCUUCAUCAAGGGGAGGAGCCACAAGCAAUGUACAACCGGCUCUAGACCUUGGUGAACCAAGUGCGCAACCUCAGGAGCACCAAAUGGGAUGACCAUGAAAUGGUCAAGGUUAUUCUAAGAUCACUUAUAUUUCUUAAUCCUACACAAGUUCAAUUAAUUCGUGGUGAUCCUAGAUACAAGAUAAUGUCUCCCGAGGAGGUUAUAGGAAAAUUUGUGAGCUUUGAAUUGAUGAUCAAAGGCUCCAAGAAAAUCAUCGAGCAAGGCGCCUCCUCCACACCCGAAAUGCAACUCGUCGCAUUCAAGGCAACAGAGGAGAAGAAAGAAGAGUCUACUUCAAGUAGACUUCCCAUCGACGCCUCCAAGCUCGACAACGAGGAAAUGGCGCUCAUCAUCAGGAGCUUUCGCCAAAUCCUCAAGCAAAGGAGGGGGAAGGACUACAAGCCCCGCUCCAAGAAAGUUUGCUACAAGUGUGGUAAGCCCGGACAUUUCAUUGCUAAAUGUCCAUUAUCAAGUGAUAGUGACAGGGGCGAUGACAAGAAGGGGAGAAGGAAGGAGAAGAAGAAAUAUUACAAGAAGAAGGGCGGCGAUGCCCAUGUAUGCCACGAGUGGGACUCCGAUGAGAGCUCCACCGACUCCUCCUCCGACGAGAACGCCGCAAACAUCGCCAUCAACAAGGGUCUUCUCCUUCCCAACGUCGAUCACAAGUGCCUCAUGGCAAAGGACGACAAAAAGAAGAAGGUAAAAUCUAGAGCUUCCACUAAAUAUGCAACAUCUAGUGAUGAGGCUAGCUCUAGUGAUGAUGAGGAUGAUUUGAUCACCCUUUUUGCCAACUUAAACAUUCAACAAAAAGACAAAUUGAAUGAAUCGAUUAGUGUUAUUCAUGAGAAGGAUGAACUCUUGGAUAGCCAAGAGGACUUCCUUAUUAAAGAAAAUAAGAAGCAUGUUAAAGUUAAAAAUGCUUAUGCUCAGGAGAUAGAAAAAUGUGAAAAAUUAACUAGUGAUCUAAGCACUUGCCAUGACACUAUUUUCAACCUUAGAUUUGAAAAUGACAAAUUGAUUGCUAAGGUUGAGAAAUUAAAUGUUAGUGAUGAUUCUCUUGUCAACCUUAGAAAUGAUAAUGCUAAUUUGAUUGCUAAGGUUGACAAAUUGAAUGCAUCUCUCUCUAGCCUUAAAAUUGAGAAUGAAAAAUUAAUUGCUAAGGCUAAAGAUUUAAAUGUUUGCAAUGUUUCUAUUUCCAAUCUUAGAGAUGAGAACACUAUUUUACAUGCUAAGAUUGUUGAAUUAAAUACUUGCAAACCCUCAACAUCUACCGUUGAACAUGUUACUAUUUGCACUAGAUGUAGAGAUGUUAAUAUUGAUGCUAUUCAUGAUCACAUUGCUAUGAUUAAACAACAAAAUGAUCAUAUAGCAAAAUUAGAUGCUAAAAUUGCCGAGCAUGAAUUAGAGAAUGAAAAAUUUAAAUUUGCUCGUAAUAUGCUUUAUGGUGGGAGACGCCCUGGCAUUAAGGAUGGCAUUGGCUUCCAACAGGGAGGCGAUGUCAAACUCAAUGCCCCUAAGAAAUUGUCCAACUUUGUUAAGGGCAAGGCUCCCAUGGUUUAGGAUAACGAGGGUUACAUUUUAUACCCUGACGGUUAUCCCGAACAUAAAAUUAGGAGAAUUCACUCUAGGAAGUCUCACUCUGGCUCUCAUCAUGCUUUUAUGAAUAAGAGUGAGGCAUCUAGUUCUAGGAAAUCCACCCAUGCUAAAUUGCCUAAGAAGAAAACUCCUAUAGCAUCAAACGAACCUAAUUUUUCAUUUAAGACUUUUGAUGCUUCUUAUGUGCUCACUAACAAAUCAGGCAAAAUAGUUGCCAAAUAUGUUGGGGCUAAACACAAGGGAUCAAAGACUUGUGUUUGGGUACCCAAGGUGCUUGUUUCUAAUGUGAAAGGACCCAAGACCAUUUGGGUACCUAAGAACAAGGCCUAAACUUGUUUUGUAGGUUUAUGCAUGCGGGGGCUCAAGUUUGAUCAUCGAUAGCGGGUGCACAAACCACAUGACUGGGGAGAAAAUAAUGUUCUCCUCCUAUGAGAAAAAUCAUGAUCCCCAAAGAGCUAUCACAUUCGGGGAUGGAAAUCAAGGUUUGGUCAAAGGACUUGGUAAAAUUGCUAUAUCCCCUGACCAUUCUAUUUCCAAUGUUUUUCUUGUAGAUUCUUUAGAUUACAACUUGCUUUCUGUUUCUCAAUUAUGCAAAAUGGGUUACAACUGUCUUUUUACGGAUAUAGGUGUUACUGUCUUUAGAAGAAGUGAUGAUUCUGUAGCAUUUAAGGGAGUGUUAGAGGGUUAGCUAUACUUAGUUGAUUUUAAUAGAGCUGAACUCGACACUUGCUUAAUUGCUAAGACUAACAUGGGUUGGCUCUGGCAUCGCCGACUUGCCCACGUUUAAAUGAAGAAUCUCCACAAACUUCUAAAGGGAGAACACAUUUUGGGACUAACAAAUGUUCAUUUUGAGAAAGACAGGGUUUGUAGCGCAUGUCAAGCAGGGGAAGCAAGUUGGUGUUCAUCAUCCACACAAGAACAUAAUGACGACCGACAGACCGCUUGAGCUACUCCACAUGGACCUAUUCGGCCCGAUAGCUUAUAUAAGCAUCAACGGGAGUAAGUAUUGUCUUGUAAUUGUGGAUGAUUAUUCUCGCUUCACUUGGGUGUUAUUUUUGCAGGAAAAAUCUCAAACCCAAGAGACCUUAAAGGGAUUCUUGAGAUGGGCUCAAAAUGAGUUCGGCUUAAGGAUCAAAAAGAUAAGAAGCGACAACGGGACGGAGUUCAAGAACUCUCAAAUAGAAGGCUUCCUUGAGGAUGAGGGCAUCAAGCAUGAGUUCUCUUCUCCCUACACACCACAACAAAAUGGUGUAGUGGAGAGGAAGAAUAGAACUCUACUUGACAUGGCGAGGACCAUGCUUGAUGAGUACAAGACUUCGGACCGGUUUUGGGCGGAAGCAGUCAACACCGCUUGCUACGCCAUCAACCGUCUCUACCUUUGCCGAAUACUCAAGAAGACAUCGUAUGAACUACUCACCGGUAAAAAGCCCAAUGUUUCAUAUUUUAGAGUCUUUGGUAGCAAAUGCUUUAUUCUUGUUAAAAGAGGUAGAAAAUCUAAAUUUGCUCCUAAGGCUGUAGAAGGCUUUUUACUUGGUUAUGAUUCAAACACAAGGGCAUAUAGAGUCUUUAACAAGUCCUCUGGACUAGUUGAGGUUACUUGUGACAUUGUGUUUGAUGAGACUAACGGCUCUCAAGUAGAGCAAGUUGAUCUUGAUGAGCUAGAUGAUGAAGAGGCUCCAUGCGUCGCGCUAAGGAACAUGUCCAUUGGGGAUGUGUGUCCUAAGGAAUCCGAAGAGCCUCCACAAGCACAAGAUCAACCAUCUUCCUCCAUGCAAGCAUCUCCACCAACUCAAGAUGAGGAUCAAGCUCAAGAGGAUGAAAAUGAAGAUCAAGAAGAUGAGCCACCUCAAGAGGAGGGCAAUGAUCAAGGGGGAGAUGCCAAUGAUCAAGACAAGGAAGAUGACGACAGUCCAAGACCACCACACCCAAGAGUCCACCAAGCAAUACAAAGAGAUCACCCCGUGAACUCCAUCCUCGGCGAUAUUCAUAAGGGGGUAACCACUCGAUCUCGUGUUGCUCAUUUUUGUGAACAUUACACCUUUGUAUCUUCUAUUGAGCCAUAUAGGGUGGAAGACACAUUAAGGGAUUCAGAUUGGGUGUUGGCGAUGCAAGAGGAACUCAACAACUUCACGAGGAAUGAGGUAUGACAUUUAGUUCCACGCCCUAAUCAAAAUGUUGUAGGAACCAAGUGGGUCUUCCGCAACAAGCAAGAUGAGCAUGGUGUGGUGACAAGGAACAAAGCCCGACUUGUGGCCAAGGGAUAAUCACAAGUCGAAGGUUUGGAUUUCGGUGAAACCUAUGCACCCGUAGCUAGGCUUGAGUCAAUUUGUAUAUUACUUGCCUAUGCUACUUACCAUGGCUUCAAGCUUUAUCAAAUGGACGUGAAAAGUGCCUUCCUCAAUGGACCAAUCAAGGAAGAAGUCUAUGUUGAGCAACCUCCCGACUUUGAAGAUAGUGAGUACCCUAACCAUGUGUAUAAACUCUCUAAGGCGCUUUAUGGGCUCAAGCAAGCCCCAAGAUCAUGGUAUGAAUGCCUAAGAGAUUUUCUUAUCGCUAAUGGCUUCAAAGUCGGAAAAGCCGAUCCUACUCUCUUUACUAAAACAAUUGCAAAUGAUUUGUUUGUAUGCCAAAUUUAUGUUGAUGAUAUUAUAUUUGGGUCUACUAACAAAUCUACAUUUGAAGAGUUUAGUAGAUAAUGGUACAAAAAUUCGAGAUGUCUAUGAUGGGGGAGUUGAAGUAUUUCUUAGGAUUUCAAGUGAAGCAACUCCAAGAGGGCAUCUUCAUCAGUCAAACGAAGUACAUUCAAGACAUACUCACCAAGUUUGGGAUGAAGGAUGCCAAGCCUAUCAAGACACCCAUGGGAACCAAUGGGCAUCUUGACCUCGACACGAGAGGUAAAUCCAUAGAUCAAAAGGUAUACCGGUCGAUGAUAGGAUCUUUACUCUAUUUAUGUGCAUCUCGACCGGAUAUUAUGCUUUUCAUAUGCAUGUGUGCAAGAUUCCAAGCCGAUCCUAAGGAAGUUCACCUUAGGGUCGUGAAAUGAAUCUUGAGAUAUUUAGUUCAUACUCCUAAGUUUGGCCUUUGGUACCCCAGGGGAUCCACAUUUGAUUUAAUAGGAUAUUUAGAUGCUGAUUGGGCAGGGUGUAAAAUUGAUAGAAAGAGCACAUCAGGGACUUGUUAGUUCUUGGGAAGAUCCCUGGUGUCAUAGGCUUCAAAGAAGCAAAAUUUUGUAUCUCUUUCUACCACCGAAGCCGAGUACAUUACCGCAGGCCAUUGUUGCGCGCAAUUGCUUUGGAUGAGGCAAACCCUUAGGGACUAUGGUUACAAAUUAACCAAAGUUCCGCUCCUAUGUGAUAAUGAGAGUGCAAUCCACAUGGUGGAUAAUCCCGUUGAGCACAACCGCACUAAGCACAUAGCCAUUCGGUAUCACUUUUUGAGGGAUCACCAACAAAAGGGGGAUAUCGAGAUUGUUUAUAUUAACACCAAAGAACAAUUAGCCGAUAUCUUUACCAAUGUUGGGGACUUGUUCUCAAAUGCUAUGAGUUAAGAACAAGGCAACACAAGAAAUGUUAAACGUUAAUGCCCUUCGUCCUUCGAGACAUUAUUUCCCUUAGGAUAUAAUGAUCUUCAGACGAAGGUCAUGAAGGACAUACCUUCAUCAUUGCAAUAUACGAUAAUAAAAGGAGAAUCAUAUAGAAUGUAAGAGACAACAUGAAUAAGUAUGUAAUAUUAUCAGCACAUUUCUAUUUUAUUAUCAUGGACAAAUAGAAAUGAUAUCAAAUUACAAAUGUACCUUCAGCUUGAUGGAAGGUAAAAGUACAAGUGUGACGCACGAUCAAAUACAAGUCAGCGUGAACAGUACGGGAGCACUGUUCAUCUAUUUAUAGGCACGGGACACAGCCCAUGUAAAAUUACACCCAUGCCUUUUACAUUUGCUAAUGACUCUAUAGUGAUCCAUCGAGGUCUAAAUGACCUUUUCCCUUUUAAGUCGGUUCCCUUUUCCGCUGUUAUGCCAAAGCUCCCUUGCGCGUAGCUUCGGCGCUACGUCAACCUUCGUAUUCUUUGUGCUUCUCACACUGUGGUUCUGAUCCGAGUCCGAAGGUACCUGUUCAUGUAUCAUACUCCAGAAAUAAUGUUAAAUCAUGUUUUUGAAGACCUUCGGAAGACGAAGGCCCCCAACAGUAGCCCCUCGCAAUAUUAAUUUGUUAGAAUAACGAAUUCAAAUUGCGAUAUGGACGAAGGCCUUAAGCCAAAAUUCUGAAAAAACACCUUCCCUUUGCUAGAAUAGCAACAGUCGAUGACAGACGGGGCCCUCCAAUUUGGAACGCACUGGGCGUAUAAAUAGGAACUCACCCCGAGCACAUUUGGUACGCUAUCUGCCGCCUGCUUUGCUUGCUCAAUUUUUUAGCUCUUGCCUACCAACGCUUGCUUGGUUUUUUAGACUUUCUAAGCUUCGGCUUUAAGGACACAUUUUCGCCAUUUCCGAAGAGAAGAUGUCUCAAGACAAAAAAGUUGUUGCUGAGACGAAGCUGAGCGAAGAGGAGAAGCUCCAUGAGGAGAAGACUGCUGGAUUUGUUGAAUCAAUAGCAAAGAAAAAUACAGAAAAGAUUACUAAGGAGAUUCUAGAAGGCUUAUCUGAAGAUACUGAUGACAGCGACAGUUAUGAUGCGGAAAGCGGAGGCGAAGACUCCGAAGAUCGGCCCUGGCGACCAAGCAUGCAGUCUUCGGGAAAUCAACCAUCAAACAGAGUCAUCUUGAUAAUAUGAGAGGAAGGUAUUUUCGAUAUUAUUUUUUUGUUCUUAUAUUAACCCAUUCAUUCUUUUCAUAUAGGGUUUAAUACUUAGCAACGCCUUAAGGGCGCAAAAGAAUGUCGAAGACGAGAGUUGCACUAUUGCUCUCAACAACCUUCAAACAGAGGUUAUCAAGCUGAGGAACGAAGCUUUGGAAAAAGAAAAAAUUCUACUUACAUUGGUGGACAAAGUAAAGGGGGAUGAAGCUAACUUCAAGGCUCAAUCUGAAAUCCAAAGGAAUGAGAUUGAAAACCUUCAAAAACAACUGGCCGAAGCCAAAUUGAAAUGCGCUAUUGCCGAAGCUGACCGAGUUGCCAGUGAGUACUAGAAAAAUUAUCUUGAAAAACAGUUGCAGAGCUUCGCUCAUCAAAAGAAAGAUGUUUUGAAAAAUCUGUGGAAUGCGUGAAAAAGAUAAAAACUAGCUUUGCCAACGUUGGCGCAUAUUCAAGCGAAGAUAACUUCAUACGGGGCGACCCCGAAGGCGUAAUCGAGUGGAUCAGCGGUGAGGCCGAAGCCUUUGAAGAGAUUUUGAGUGACCGCGGGGACGUCUGUGCCUUCUCUGGUGCGAGAGGAAUUGCAGCUAUUUUGGAGAAAGCAGGGUGCGAACAUGUUAAAACUUUGGCCCAGGCCGAAGCUGCCUUCUCCACCGAUGAUAUAAAGGACCCCUCGGCCGAAGCAAACUCAAUAGGUGGAAAAAAUUUCACUGAUAUCUGGGAAAACGGUGGCCGAGGGAUGGCCCAUGAAAUUAUAAAGAAAAACGAAAAAGAUAUUCACGACACUCGAGAGUCAAUAAAAGAAGCUGAAAAGGCUGCGGAGCUUGAGAGACGAAUAUGUAUUACUUAAUGGUUUUUAACUUUGUUGUUUAUUUUUGUGACUUUGAACUGAUUUAUGUUUUCUACCUUAGCUGAACUAUCUCCUCCCCCAGCGCCCUUAGAGUCAUUGGCCGACCCAGAGGCAAAGGAAUCAACAGAACUUAUUAACAUGGCCGAAACUAUUGUAGACGAAGUCGUUACCCAACUGCUGACCGAAUUUGCACAUAAAGUUUUGAAGGAAGAAGAGUAGCUAUUGUAAAAACAUUGCUAGAAUAUUAAUGUAACAUUUGCCGGACUAUGCUUGUAAUAUUUGGUGCUCCUAGGUUUUGAAUGUAAUAUAUGAAUGGUUUUGUAAUUCAUUUCUUUGCGAUGCAUGAAACUUUUAUGUACAUACCGUUUUUGAGCCUUCGGCGAAAAAACACCUUCCCUUCUUUUCAUGUUCGUAAAGAAGAGCUUUUAUGCUUCGUAAAAAAUCCUCCAAUCGUCGCAAAAACAUUAAUGCUUCGUCAACAACAGAUUUUUCCUCCACAUCAGAGCUGAUGAAGCUGUAUUUCUUCAAAACUUAUUUUGUGCCUUAGCACAAUUUCACUUUUUUCGAAGCAUUCUUCGAAGGUCAACAUUGUAUCCCCUUCUUGUGCCAUUGAUGCAAUAUGAUGUAUGAUGUUAUGUUAUGUGAAAUGAUGUGAUGAUGUUAUGUUAUGCAAAAUGAUGUUUAUGCCGAAGACACACACUCACACCCCCAUAGUGGAAUACACAAUCUCUUUGCCGCUUAUUUUUCGGCUUCACCGCUUAUUUUUCGGUGUAUCAGCGCUGACUUUUCACUGUAAGUUCUGCAUUCCCUUAGGAACGUCUUUUGAACUUCUUCACCUUCUAUUUCGGCGGUAUUCGCGUUGACUUUUCGCGCUUCGCCUUAUAUUUCGGCGGUAUUUGGCUCUGCAUUCCCUUUGGAAUGACUUUUGAGCAGAAAACUUACACUGCGCUCCCUUAGGAACGACUUUUUGUAGCUUCGGCAAACUUACGCUGCGUUCCUUAGAACGACUUUUUUGUGGCUUCGGUGAUACUUGUAAUGUGAUUUUUAGCCCCGCGUUCCCUUAGGAACGACUUUUGUGCUUCAGUGACUUUUUGAACUUCGUGAGUCUGUGGAGAAGAUAUAUUUCACUAUGGCAAGAACGAAGUUAUUACAAGAAAUCAAGAGAGCUAGGUUUUCAAUAAUUGUUCCUUAUUAAAAAGGAAGUGAUAAUGAAUGUAAAAACUGCUUCAGGGGUAGGAUAUCUCUCAAUAGAUAUGCUUCGAUUCUAGCACAGUACUGUUGGCUGUGCGAGCUUCGGACUCCUCCCUGAAAUCUCGUUGCUGAUGGGUCUGUUGGCUCCCUUCUGGCUGCUGGCCUCGUGAAUAUGCAGGUUGUAGUGGUGGCAGAGGUGGAGGCUGUGGCCAAGAUGCAUGUGGCUGGCUAGCCGAAGCAACAGAAGCUGCAGGAUGGUUACCCACAUACUCUGGUAUGUAGGGUGAGUGAUACGAAGCAGUGUGCAUGACCUGCUUCGGCUGGUUCUGCUGAGCUGCGGCUUCUGCUAAUUCCUUUUGUUUCUGAAUGGUGACAUGGCACAUCCUUGUAGUAUGGCCCUUGUCCUCACCACAGAAUAAGCAAUUUUCCUAGGUUGAUCCCCAAACCUUCCUCCGAAGCCCCUGGCACCUCUGCCUCUUGGAGUUGGCGGCCGAAAAUAGGUUUGUUGCUGCCCCGAAACUUGCGAGGAAUAUUGUGGCUUCUGUUGCUGACUUCCUCUGUCGUCAUUCUGGGUGGAGUGGAUUGAUCUGACAUGCCUUGGGUGGAUUCUUCCUCCGAAGCCCCUGGUCAUCUCAGAGAACCUGUAGGCUUCCUCCCUUCUUUGGCGAAAGUCAUUGUCAGCCCGGAUGUAUUCAUCCAUCUUUUGAAGCAGCUUCUCCAAAGUCUGUGGAGGCUUUCUAGCAAAAUACUGGGCAGUAGGUCCUGGAUGAAGCCCCUUGAUCAUGGCCUCAAUGACAAUUUCAUUGGGCACAGUAGGCACUUGUGCUCUCAGACGCAAGAACCUUCAGACGUAUGCCUGGAGAUACUCCUCAUGAUCUUGCGUGCAUUGAAACAGAGCCUGAGCUGUGACUGGCUUCGUCUGAAAGCCCUGGAAACUUGUCACCAGCAUGUCCUUGAGCUUCUGCCAUGAAGUGAUGGUCCCUGGCCGAAGAGAAGAAUACCACGUUUGAGCCACAUUCUUAACUGCCAUGACGAAGGACUUGGCCAUGACAGCUGCAUUGCCUCCGUAUGAAGAUAUAGUUGCUUCAUAACUCAUCAAAAACUGCUUCGGGUCUGAAUGCCCAUCAUACAUUGGAAGCUGAGGUGGCUUGUAUGAUGGGGGCCACGGGAUAGCCUGCAGUUCUGCUGCCAAGGGAGAAGCAUCAUCAAAAGUAAAGGUAUCAUGAUUAAAAUCAUCAUACCAUCCAUCGUCGUUGAACAAGCCCUCUUGAUGAAGCUCCCUGUGUUGGGGCCUUCGAUCUUGCUCGUCUUGAGCAAGGUGGCGUACUUCUUCAGUGGCUUCGUCAAUCUGCCUUUGAAGGUCAGCUUGUCGGGCCAUCUUCUCCUUCUUCUUUUGCACUUGCUGAUGAAGCAUCUCCAUGUUUCUGAUUUCUUGGUCCAACUCGUCCACCUGGGGUGUUGGACUAGUGGCCUUCCUCUUCUGGCUUCGGGCCUCUCGAAGAGAAAGGGUCUCCUGAUUUGGGUCCAGUGGCUGCAGAGCGGCAGCCCCUAGCGCUGAAACUUUCUUCGGUGGCAUGACGAAGGUCAAUGCUUGCCGAAGGUGGUCGAAAAGAGUUCACCCCACGGUGGGCGCCAAUGUUGGGGACUUGUUCUCAAAUGCUAUGAGUUAGGAACAAGGCAACAUAAGAAAUGUUAAACGUUAAUGCCCUUCGUCCUUCGAGACAUUAUUUCCCUUAGGAUAUAAUGAUCUUCAGACGAAGGUCAUGAAGGACAUACCUUCAUCAUUGCAAUAUACGAUAAUAAAAGGAGAAUCAUAUAGAAUGUAAGAGACAACAUGAAUAAGUAUGUAAUAUUAUCAGCACAUUUCUAUUUUAUUAUCAUGGACAAAUAGAAAUGAUAUCAAAUUACAAAUGUACCUUCAGCUUGAUGGAAGGUAAAAGUACAAGUGUGACACACGAUCAAAUACAAGUCAGCGUGAACAGUACGGGAGCACUGUUCAUCUAUUUAUAGGCACGGGACACAGCCCAUGUAAAAUUACACCCAUGCCCUUUACAUUUGCUAAUGACUCUAUAGUGAUCCAUCGAGGUCUAAAUGGCCUUUUCCCUUUUAAGUCAGUUCCCUUUUCCGCUGUUAUGCCGAAGCUCCCUUGUGCGUAGCUUCAGCGCUACGUCAACCUUCGUAUUCUUUGUGCUUCUCACACUGUGGUUCUGAUCCGAGUCCGAAGGUACCUGUUCAUGUAUCAUACUCCAGAAACAUUGUUAAAUCAUGUUUUUGAGGACCUUCGGAAGACGAAGGCCCCCGACAACCAAGCCACUAGAUGAGAAAACUUUUACCAAUCUUAGGCAUGAGCUAAACAUUCUAGAUUCUAGGAAUUUUGAUUGAUAUUUUGCACACAUAGCUUAUUUCAAUACCUUUGAUCAUAUCUCUUUCAUGUGCUAUGACUAAUGUGGUUUUCAAGUAUAUUUCAUGCUAAGUCAUAGAUUGAAAGGAAAAUGGAGUCUUCGGCGAAGAAAAGGCUUCCACUCCAUCGAAUUAUUCAUCCUUCGCCGACACUCCACAUCGCUCUCCAAUUUGGUAUAAUCUUCACUCCUACAUUAUUUACCAAAGGGGGAGAAAGUUUGAAAAAGGGCUUAUAUUUUCACUCACAAGUAUCCGUUUUUGGCGAUUCAUGCCAAAGGGGGAGAAAGUAUUAGCCCAAAGCAAAAGGACCGCACCACCACCAAUUUCAAAAAUGAAGUCUUUUAAAUUUGUACUAAAAGAAGGUUUUUCAAUUGGUAUCUUAUUUUUGAUAGAAUUUUCAAAUUGGUAUAACCCAUUUCAAAAUUAAUAUCUAAAACUCUCUUGAACAAUAAGAGGAGAAUUUCAUUAAGGGGGAGUUUUGUUUAGUCAAAGGAAAAGCAUUUGAAACAGGGGGAGAAAAUUUCAAAUCUUAAAAAUGCUUCUCAAAAUCUUACUCAUUUACCUUUGACUACUUGCAAAAAGACUUUGAAAAGAAUUUCCAAAAGAGUUUGCAAAAACAAAACAAGUGCUGCAAGCGUGGUCCAAAAUGUUAAAAUAGAAGAAAGCAUCCAUGCAUAUCUUAUAAAAUGUAUAUUGGUUUAAUUCCAAGUAACCUUUGCACUUUCAUUAUGCAAACUAGUUCAAUUCUGCAAUUAUAUAUUUGCUUUGGUUUGUGUUGGCAUCAAUCAUCAAAAAGGGGGAGAUUGAAAGGGAAAUAGGCUUACACCUUUUCCUAAAUGGUUUUGGUGGUUGAAUUGCCCAACGCAAAUAAUUGGACUAACUAGUUUGCUCUAGAUUAUAAGUUCUACAUGUGCCAGAGGUUCAACACAAACCAAUAAAAAGUCCAAGAAAGGGUUCAAAUAAAAAGAGCAAAAGACAACCGAAUGCUGCCCUGGUCUGGCGCACCGGACAGUGUCCGGUGCACCAGGGAGAUUCACUCCAAACUUGCCACCUUUGGGAAUUUGGGAAGCCACUCCGCUAUAAUUCACCGGACUGUCCGGUGUAGCACCGGACUGUCCAGUGUGCCAAGCGGAGCAACGGUCGUUAGCGCAACGGUCGAGUUGAACGGUCGGCUCACAACGCUACAGUGCGCGUACUGCGCGCGCAGAAGUUAGAGCAGGUGCAGAUGGCGCAUCGGACAGUGAACAGGACCUGUCCGGUGCACCACCGGACUAUCCGGUGGCCCACAUGUCAGAAGCUCCAACGGUCGAACCCUAACGGUUGGGUGACGUGGCUGGCGCACCGGACAGUGGCCGGUGGCGCACCGGACUGUCCGGUGCGCCCAUCGACAGUAGAGUUCCCCAACGGCCACUUUGGUGGUUGGGGCUAUAAAUACCCCCCAACCACCACACUUCAAUGCAUCCAAGUUUUCAGCCAUCAAACCUCAUACAAGAGCUCUAUACUUCAUUCCAAGACACAAACAAAGAGAUCAAAUCCUCUCCCAAGUCCGGAAUCACUUCAAACAAAUUAGUGACUAGAGAGAGAGACUUUUGUGUUCUUUUGAGCUCUUGCGCUUGGAUCGCUUUUCUUCUUCCUCCUUUCUUGUUCUCAACUCAAUUGUAAUCAAAGCAAGAGACACCAAGUUGUGGUGGUCCUUGUAGUGGACUAAGUGUCCUGUUUGAUUGAAGAGAAAAGCUCACUCAGUCUAGGUGACCGUUUGAGAGAGGGAAAGGGUUGAAAGAGACCCGGUCUUUGUGACCACCUCAACGGGGAGUAGGUUUGCAAGAACCGAACCUCGGUAAAACAAAUCAUCGUGUUCAUUCGUUUUAUUUCUUUGUUGAUUUGUUUUCCCUCUCUUUCGGACUCGAUUAUAUUUUUAACGCUAACCCCGACUUGUUGUUGUGCUUAAACUUUAUAAAUUUCAGAUUUGCCUAUUCACCCCCCCUUUAGGUGACUUUUAGUCUCAACACCUCCUCUCUCGUACGAUGCGCUUUACCAUGGAAGAUCCACCGAGUAUAGUCUGGCGUAAAUCUGAUCUUCCAAAUAUGUUCUACCAUGGCCUUCUUUGAUUUUCUUUUCCGGUUGGCACAUUUGCUGCACGGGCAUGGGACUAGACUCGCUCCUUUAGCAGCUUUGCCAUAUGCCCGUUCCACAAAAGCAUCGGUCUUUCUAAUCCAUUCAGGGGUGACAUCAUUCCUACUUACACGGCAUGUGUACAUCCACUCACGGUCUUCCAUCCUCUAACAUAUGUAACCGAGUAUAGUUUAAUAUAAACAUGUAAUGCAUGUACGCUAUGUUCCUACCUUAUAAUAGGUGAGUAUAGUUCUUAAUCUCACUCGCGGUUGCGUAGACGAAGUUAGUUUCCAUGCUCUACUUCGAUCCAAGACAGAGUUCCGGCAGCACCUCCCCGUUGUUCUCCGGAUACACGCCCUAGCAGGUAGAAUGUACUGUCCGGAGAUCAACAUGGAGGUGAAACCGAAACUCUGUCUCGGACCGGAGUAGAGCAUGGAAACUAAUACCAGGGCGACGGUGGAGUAGGGAUAGCGGGGCUGUGGCGGGUCGGUGCAGUGGCGACGUGUCGCAGUGCAGGUUCUAGUGUGGCGGCAAGGAAUACCUCUGCAAAAAAAAAUUAACACAAGUUUAUCAACAAAAAAAUCGGCAGGACUUCCCCUGCACGAGGAGGUUGCAAAAAACCAGCAAAUAAAACUAACAGCACGAUGGCUGACAUCCACACAUAUACUAGCAAAAAAUAGACUUGCGUGUGUUAUUUACAAUUGUGUUAGUUACACACAAUCUAUUGAUGCCAUAUUUGUUGUGUACUAGCGAUUGGCAAGAAGAAUCAACUUUUAGGCACUAAAACAUCUAGUGGGUUCAAAUUAAAGAACUUCUUCUAUUAAUUACAGAACCACCCCAUCGGCCGACCAGGAUCCAAAUUAAAGAACUUCUUCUUCUAUUAAUUAUAGUAUAUUAUAAUUACCAAGUCUCUUCUUAUAUUUACAUGUUCAUUUGCUUGCUUCUUGCAUAACAUAACGGCGAUCGAUGAUGACCAUCGUUAGUUUUAGUCCUACGUGUAUUUGAUUCAAUCCCUCCAUGUUCAUAGUAUAAAUUCAACCAAACCUAAAUAAGUUUCAGUCAGCUUGAUCUUAAAAUUGCAUCAUACACACACAUACAUAGUCUUACUAGAAGUAAGCAAUUUCUUUUAAACUAAUUUCCAGCCAACAUUGAUGAAUGAACUAGAAUGUGGCUAUAACCGAGACCUGUGUGGGUGGUGCUGGAGAUGGGGACGUUGGGCCGAGGCUCACCGGCGUCGAGGCCUGUCCGAAGAUGGCCGACCGCCAGGCCGGGGACGGGGCUCGUUGGAGAUGGCCGGGUCGAGCGACGGUGGGGACGUCGGAGGCAGGGAGGAUGGCCGGCACGGUGUCCGGAGCCGGAGGGGAUGACCGGAGAGGAGGAUGGUCGGCGCUUGCUCCGAUGGCGUUGGCGGCGAGUGGCGUUGGCGGAGGGGACGACUGGUUAGGGCUAUGUACACAGACUUUGCCGAGUGCCAUAUCACGGGCACUCGGCAAAGAUUUUUUUUAAAUUUAAAAAUAAACUUUGCCGAGUGUCACAGAUCACUGACAGGCACUUGGCAAAGAUUGUUUUAAUUUUUUUAAAAAAACUUUACAGAGUGUCCCACGGCAGGCACUCGACAAAGAAUGCUUUACUGACUGCCUUAUUUUGACACUCGACAAAGAAUUCUUUGCCAAGUGCCCGAUAAAAAGCACUUGGCAAAGCACCGAGCACUCGGCAAAGAGCCGGAUUCCGGUGUGGUUGUUUCAUGGAAGUUGUAAGUAGACCAUCUUAACAAGGUCAACAAUAGAAGUACAACUCACAACAUUAGAUACUGCCAAAGUUAAUGUUGAGAGGCUUCGUGAACUCCUUAUGGAUUUACUAGUAGUUGAAAAACCAAUACUGGUUAUCUAUAUGAGCUAUAAUAAUUAAACAUUGGUAAUCAAAGUGAACAAUUCUUAGGUUAACAUGAAGACUACAAAGCAUGUCAAGAACGGUUGAAACUGUUAAAACACUAAGAAACUCUAGAUUAAUUGUGUUGGACUAUGUCCAUACUUCUAAGAAUUUGGUAUGCCAGUUUAUAGAAGAUUUGUCACAUAAUGUGAUAGAUGGUGCAUCGAGAAAGAUGGACUUGAGACCCACUUAAUGCCAUUCCAUAGUAGUAGCAUUUUCUAUGUGAUUGGAGAUCUCAUGAAGUAAAAUGGUGAAAUAAGCUAGAGAAUGACUGAUGGAGAGACUCCUUAAAUAAAAUCUAGGUAAUUUCAUAUGAACAUUUCUCCUUCGAUGUACGAUAGGCUAACUAAAAUCUUAAUAUGAUUUGAGUGACAUAUCUAAGCAGGGAUGUUAUCUUAUAGAACAUCCUAUAAGGAACACACCUAUAUGACUUUGACUACUAAUCACAGUCUAUGAUAUGUGGGAAAUAUUUUUUUACUCAUGAAAGGCCUCGAAGUUUGACUUAUAUGCUUCAAACCAAUGGAUAACUGAUUGAAUCUGUUUCAGACAGCAGCAUAGUUAACUUCAAAAUUCUAUAUCUCCCAAACUUCUCAACCAAAAAUUAUUAAAUUAUGCUGACAGUAAGAACUUUUAUCCCUCUACAAAAGUCUCCAUAGUUGGAAGAGCCAAUUCGGCCAUUUACUAGAUGAAACCUACCAGUUAACAGACCCGCUCAUUUUUGUCAGGCAAACAAGAACCCUUAUAUAUCAAAGAGUAGUGGAUUUGAAUUUGUCUAAUAUGAAGUUUAUGGGCUUGGAUCAUUUAAAGUAUUUUAUAAUUCUGAAAGACAAGAUUAAACUAACUAUGUAUGAUCCUUUAGCACCGUACAGAUGGUCGAUGGGACAGUUACAUGGUUUAUAUAGAUGGACCUAUCUAUAUUCCUUCAGUGGUUGAGAACAAGGUAAAGGUGUGUCACACUCACGCGUGCGCCGCCUCCGCCGAGACGAGGCAUGGCGUUGCAGGGUGAGGCAUGGCAUGGUGCAGCACGAUCGCAGUCAUGGUCGUGGCACAGUGUAGCACUGUUGUGGAUAGAUAGAUAAACUAUUGUUGUAGUUAGAGUGCAUGAGUUUUUGAAUGCAACACUAGAAUUUUCACAAUUUAACUUAAUUAAGAAGUUAUAUCUUGAUGACACAGAGUUACCUGACCAUUGAUCUCACAUGCCCUUUUAGCUCUCUCGUACUCUAGACUUACCCUGACUAUUUAGGUCUCCUGACUCGCCAAUAUAAACACCAUCCUAUCAUUUGCUGUCGAAUACUUCUGUGUCACAACUCAACUGUCAGAUGAGUACUCCAUUACAGCACUGAGCAGGCCUCCGAAAUGAAUAUCUACUCAGAUGAAGGACGACAAUCGUGUUCUAGGGAAAUAUCAGCGACACAACUCCUUACUUCCUCCGCUUCUUCCUAGUGUUUUUUGUUGUGAUUGAGUCGACAUAGCAACAACACUGCACUAUUACAACCAGUACGACUAUAUCAACUAGCAAUGUCUUCCUUAUAUGUUACUAUUUAUUUUGCUCAUAUUCAUUAUGUUUAAAUCACAUAGGCGCCUUUAUGUUGGCAUCAAAAAAUCAGUAUCAACUUUAUAGAUUAAAAUGAAACUAAAAGUACCUAAAUUUCUAUCGGUGGGGAUCGAGUGAUUCUUUAAACCGAUUAUUACACAAGUUAACCACACUAAAAUUAACAAUGGUGAAUCGUGCCAUGAUUUUUUUCUAGUGGAAAAUAGCCAAACCAAGCAACACAUAUGUGGCUAUCGUUACACAUGUGUAAAGGUAUUGCAUCACACCAUUGUCACCCAUGUAUGUGGACAAUACCGAGAGGAAAAACCACUUAUUUAUUGUAUUUUAUCAAGUUUGUCUUGCUUACGUAUAAAUUAUAACCCAACAAAGUAAUCACUAAAUGUCAAAACCAACUAGAUACCAUGUCAUCUCUACCUUAUCUUACUAAUAUUCUUUUUGCAAAAUCCAAAAUUAAUCUUGCACAAGCACAAGGACUGAGAUGUGUAUAAAUAUCUCUUAAAUUAGUAGCUAAUAUAUCGCACAUAUUAUUGAGACCAACUAGCAACAUAGAAAGCACAAUAGUGUACCAACAAUGGCAGCCAAAAUAUUUUGCCUCCUUAUGCUCCUUGGUCUUUCUGCAAGUGCUGCUACGGCGACCAUUUUCCCGCAAUGCUCGCAAGCUCCUAUAGCUUCCCUUCUUCCCCCGUACCUCUCACCAGCGGUGUCUUCGGUAUGUGAAAACCCAAUUCUUCAACCCUACAGGAUCCAACAGGCAAUCGCAGCUGGCAUCUUACCUUUAUCACCCUUGUUCCUCCAACAAUCAUCAGCCCUAUUACAACAGUUACCUUUGGUGCAUUUAUUGGCACAAAACAUCAGGGCACAACAACUACAACAACUUGUGCUAGCAAACCUUGCUGCCUACUCUCAGCAACAGCAGUUUCUUCCAUUCAACCAACUAGGUUCAUUGAACUCUGCUUCUUAUUUGCAACAACAACAACUACCAUUCAGCCAGCUACCUGCUGCCUACCCCCAGCAAUUUCUUCCAUUCAACCAACUAGCAGCAUUGAACUCUCCUGCUUAUUUACAGCAGCAACAACUACUACCAUUCAGCCAGCUAGCUGGUGUGAGCCCUGCUACCUUCUUGACACAACCACAGUUGUUGCCGUUCUACCAGCACGUUGCGCCUAACGCUGGCACCCUCUUACAACUGCAACAAUUGCUGCCAUUCAACCAACUUGCUUUGACAAACCCAGCAGUGUUCUACCAACAACCCAUCAUUGGUGGUGCCCUCUUUUAGAUUUCUUAUGAGUUAUAGUUCAAUAAUAAAGUUUUUUAUCUGAUGUUUGUGGCUUCCCAGAAAUAAGAAAGUACAUUUCUAGAUUCUUAUGUGCUUCUAGUCUUCAAAUGUGGUUGAUAGUUAUUGUUGGGGACUUGUUCUCAAAUGCUAAGAGUUAAGAACAAGGCAACAUAAAAAUGUUAAAUGCUAAAGUCCUUCGUCCUUCGAAGCAUUAUUUCCCUUAGGAUAUAAUGAAUUUCGGACGAAGGCUAUGAAGGACAUACCUUCAUAAGCACAACGAAUGAUGAAGAAGAAUUCAUAUAAAUUAUGAGAUAUAACAUAAACAUUUAAACAUUAUUAUUAACUCAUUUCUAUUGACUUGUCAGGGAAAAAUAGAAAUGAUAAUAAAUUACAAAUAUACCUUCGGCUUGAGAGAAGGUAAAGGUACAAGCGUGAGGCAAAAGCAAAUGCCAAGUCAGCGUGAACAGUACGGGAACACUGUUCAUCUAUUUAUAGGCACGGGACGCAGCCCAUGCAAAAUUACAUCCAGGCCCUUUGCUUUUGACAAUAACUCUAUAGUAAUCUAUCUGGGUCUAGAUAGUCUUUUCCUCUUUAAGUCGGUUUCCUCUUUUCUGCCAUCAUACCGAAGCUCCCUUGCGCACAGCUUCGGCUCUGCUCCAUCCUUCGUAUUGUUUCCGUGCUUCUUCAUACCGUGGGCUCUUGUUCGAAGAUCCCUAUCCACACAUUAUACUCCAGAGGCAUUGUUAAAUCAUGUUUUUGAGGACCUUCGGAAGUCGAAGGCCCCCAACAGUAGCCCCUCGCAAUAUUAAUUUAUUAGAAUGAUAAAUUUAGAUCGCGACAUGGACGAAGGCCUUAAGCCGAAGGUCCGAAAAAACACCUUCCCUUUGCUAGAAUAGCAACAAUCAAUGACAAGCGGGGCCCUUUCCCUUGCAACACACUAGGCGUAUAAAUAAGAGCAUACCGCGAGCGGAUUUGGCACGCUUUUUGCCAUCUGCUCUUGCUCACCCAACUUUUAGCCCUUGCACACCAACACCUGCUUGGCCUUUUUUUAAAAAAAUUUAAGCUUCGGUUUCGAGAGCACUUUCUCAGCAUUUUCGAAGAUGUCUGAAGAUAAGAAAGUUGUCGCUGAGUCGAAGCUGAGACUUUCUGAGGAGAUGAAUCUCGGCUUUCUUGAAUCAAUAGCGAAGACAAAUACAGAGAAGAUUACUAGGGAGAUUUUAGAAGGUUUAUCUGAAGACACUGGUGACAGUGACAGUUAUGAUGUGGAAAGUGGUGGUGAAGAUUCCGAAGAUCGACCCUGGUGACCAAGCCAUGCAGUUUUUGGAAAAUCAAGCAUUAAACUAAGCCAUCUUGUUAAUAUGAGGGGCAGAUAUUUUCGGGAUUUAUCUAUUGUGAGGGCUGAUGAAGGAGAAAAAACUUGUCCUACUCCUGAGGAAAAUGAAGUCGUGAUAUUCCGAAGCUUCUUCAAGGCUGGGCUUCGGUUUCCUUUAAGCGGUUUCGUGGUUGAAGUUUUGAAGAUUUUUGAAAUCUACCUCCAUCAAAUUACUCCUGAAGCAAUCAUAAGGAUGGGAAUCUUCGUAUGGGCUGUGAAGAGCCAAGGUUUGGAGCCGAAUGCAAAAAGUUUCUGCAAUAUGCAUGAGCUAUUAUACGAGACGAAACCUUGGGGUAAAGAGAAAUAUCAUAACAAUUUUGGCUGCUACAGCUUCGGCGCCCGCUCUGGGUCAAGCUGUCCCGUGCCAACUUUUUGGAAGAGAUGGCCCGGGGACUCGAUGAAGGAAUGGUGUUAUGUAAAAAACGACUUGAAAACGCGAGAAGGUAUUAAAGAUAUCAUCAUGCGCCCCAUCUGGCAGCGUUUCGGCCUUCGGAAACCGAAGGUGGAUAUUGACGAAGCAACCGAAGAAUGCCAGAGGGCCUUCGGCGUAGUUUGCUCUUUCAUCGGGACAAGGGAUUUGAUCCAGGAACAUAUUUCCUUCAGAGUAUGGCCACUUGUAGAAAAGUGGGAAAUGCCGAAGGAAACCAUCAGCAAACCUGAUGAAGUGGACUAGUUAGGUUAAAAUAUACCUUCAGAUAUGGAGAUAAGUUUGUGGAGCCAGAUGAUGACUGGCUGAAAUGUAUUGAGGCCACAAGCGAUGAACUGCUUGGGCCAUAUUCGAAGACAGAAGAUACUGCACUGUCCGCGGCCUUCGGAGGUCGGAAGAAGAGACUCAACCGAGUGUUUGAUGCCAUUGGGUUCGUCUAUCCUGACUACCGUUACCCAACACAGGGUCAGAAAGGGAAAGAUACGACUUCUGUGAAGAAAGUUGCUUCAGCCGCUCCUAGUGAGCCGGCGCCGAAGAGGAAAAAGAUGAAGGUUCUUACGCACCGGCCACGCUAUAUUGAACCGGCCACAGUGCCUGAGUUUGUCGGUGAGACCUCUUCGGCCACCGAAGCCAAGGAGCCGACUCUCCUGCCGAAUAUUGAAGAGCCGGCCAAAAUGCCGGCAAUGGAAAAAAUAGAAGAACCGAGGGCUGAAGAGACAAAGACAUCGGAAAAGAAUGGUUAACGUGCUAAUGCCGAAUAUUGAAGUCCUUCAGCAAGAAUCGAGGUGCUAAUGCCAAUGCCGAUGGCACAAAAAGACCUUACGACAACCCCCAAGAGGAAAAGAAUGGUUAACGUGCUAGAUGUACUGGAAACGAUAAAAUCUUCAAGCUCUACUCCGAAGAUAGCUACUGAAGUUCCAAAGACACAAACUGAGGCCAAAGCUGCCAAAAGUCAAGCGGAAACUGAAACUGGGCUUUCAGAGCCUACCAAGAGGGAAUUCUUGGAAAUUGAAAAAGAAACGGAAAAAGAAUCUGCAGAAGAAACUUUUUCUGAGAAAAUCGUCACACAUAUUCCCGAAGCAUCUUCUGAAGCUUCUGACUAUGUAUUACGUCAUGCUUCGGGUAAAAAUCUGAGCGAAAAAGAAAAAAGAGAAGCUCAAUUCUAUGCGCAAAAAUUGAAAUAUCCAAAAGGGGCGCUGAUAUUCAACGGCAGCGGAGAAGAAGACUUCUUGUAUUGUCUCCCUCAUAGCAAGGAGAUUUCUGUCUGUCGGGAGAUGAGCAAAAGCUUCGGAUUCCCAACAUUAGAAGACGGGCUCUUGGUGUUGUCAAAGGACGAGCUAGCCGACAGCUUAGCGUAUAAUAGUUUAAAGGUGAAGAAAAUGAGAUCUUUGUAUUAUUUCUUGAAACCAAAAUUUUUCAUUUGCUUAAACUUAUUAACGCAUUUUUUUACAGGGUCUUAUACUUAGCAAUGCCCUCAGGGCACAAAAGAAUGACGAAGACGAAGGGUGCGCCAUAGCCCUGAGCAACCUUCGUUCCGAAGUAAUUGAUCUAAGGAACGAAGGUCUCGAAAAAGAUAAAAUAUUACAUUCGUUGGUGAAUAAAAUAAAAGAAGAUGAAGCUACUUUCAAAGCUCAAGCUGAGGCUCAGAAGCACGAAAUUGAGAAUCUUCGGAAACAACUAGCCAGAGCUACAGAAGAAUACACAAUUGAAGAAACAAAACGAGAAAUUAGUGAACAAUGGGCAAAUCAUUUAGAAAAAAACGUUGAAGAGCUUCGUGCGUCCAAGAAAAGGUGUUAUGAAAAAUCUAUAGAAUGUGUUAAGAAAAUAAGAACCAGCUUCACCAACGUUGGCGCGUUUUCAAGUGAAGAAAAUUUCAUGAGGGGUGACCCCGAAAGCCCAAUUGGAUGGAUCAGCCACGAAGCUGAAGCUUUUGAAUAGCCGUGGAGACAUAUGUGCCUUCUCGGGUGCCAGGGGGAUUGCCGCUGUUUUGGAGAAGAAAGGUUGCGAUCACGUGAAAUCCCUGGCACAGACCGAAGCCGUUUUAUCCUCUGAAGACAUAAAAGACCCUUCGGCCGAGGCGAGUUUGGUUGGUGGGAAAUUUUUCACCGACAUCUGGGAAAACGGUGGCCGGGAGAUGGCUCAAGAAAUUAUACGGAGAAGCGAGAAUGGUAUACAUGACGCUAGAAAAGUAGCAGAGGCCGCUGAGAAAAGUGUGGAUCUCGAAGGGCGAAUAGGUAUUAACUAGUAAUUUUUGGCUUUUUGUUGUAACCUUUUGAUUUUGAACUUGUUUACACUUUGUAACAUGGUCGCACCUUCUCCUCCCUCAGAGCCUGCCGAGCCAUCGACAGACCCCCACGUAAAGGGGGAUGACGAGAUUAGAAGAAUGGCUGAAGCUAUCAUGGACAAAGUUGUUGAUCAAUUACUAAACGAAGCUGCAGAAAUAGUUCUAAGGGAAGAUUAGAUGUUAUUGUAAAAACAUUUGGAAUGUAAUAUUUGUUGAACAAUAUGUGUAAUAUUUUGUAACUUUGAAUGUAAUAUAUAAUCUAUUUGUGGUUCAAUUCUUUACGAUGCAUGAAACUUUACAUACAUACCGUUUUUGAGCCUUCGGCGAAAAAACACCUUCCCUUCUUUUCAUGCUUCGUAAAUAAUAUCCGUAUAUCAUAAAAACAUCCAAUUUUCGUAAAAUCAGUAACCAAUAGAUCUUUUUAUUUCAUAAAAACAUCCAAUCUUCGUAAAAUCAGUAACCAAUCUUCGUAAAGGCAUGCUUCUUCAAUAAUUAUUUUUGUGCCUUGGCACUGUUUCUUCGAAACAAUCUCCGAAUAUCAACAUUGAAACCCCCUUCUUGCGUCAUUGAUGCAAUAUGAUGUAUGAUGUUAUGCUAUGCAAAUGAUGUGAUGAUGUGAUGUUAUGCAAAAUGAUAUUUGCCGAAGAUCAACGUUUAUUUUUCACUGCAAGCCUCCCUUAGGAGCUUCUUCGCCUUUUACUUCAGCGGAAUCAGCAUUUAUUUUUCGCUGUAAGCCUCCCUUAGGAGCUUCUUCGCCUUUUACUUUCAGCGGAAUCAGCGUUUAUUUUUUGCUGUAAGCCUCCCUUAGGAGCUUCUUCGCCUUUUACUUUCAGCGGAAUCAGCGUUUAUUUUUCGCUGUAAGCUCUGCAUUCCCUUCGGAACGACUUUUGAGCAGAAAACUUACGCUGCGCUCCCUUAGGAACGACUUUUUGUUAUUUCGGAGAUUCUCCUUGUAACCAUAAAUUCUUAUGCUUCGGCAACUCUGUUAUUUUGUGGAGAAGGUAUAUUUUUACUGUGGCGAAAACGAAGCUAUUACAAGAAAUUGAAAACGACAAAAAGCACUUAGGCUUUCAAUAAUUGUUCCUUAUUAAAAAGAAAAUGAUACUGAAUGUAAAAACUACUGCCGAGGUAGGAUAUUUGUUAGUAAAUAUGCUUCGAUUCUGGCACAGUACUAUUGACUGUGCGAGCUUCGGACUCUUCUCUAAAGUCCCGUUGAAGGUGGAUAUGCUGACUCCCUUCUGGCUGCUGGCUUUGUUGCAUUGGUGGUGGAGGUGGAGGCUGCUGCCAAGAUGCCUGAGGUUGGCUUGCCGAAGCAACAGAAGCUGCAGGGUGGUUGCCUACAUACUCUGGAAUGUAAGGCGAAUGGUAUGAAGCAGUGUGCAUAACUUGCUUCGGCUGGCUCUGUUGGGCUGCAGCUUCUGCUAUCUCCUUUUGUUUCUGGAUGGUAACAUGGCACAUCCUGGUGGUAUGGCCCUUGUCCUCUCCACAGAAUAGGCAAUAGAUCUUCCUGGGCUGAUCCCCAAAUCUUCCUCCGAAGCCCCUGGCACCUCUACCCCUUGGAGCUGGAGGCCGAGGAUAGCUCUGCUGCUGCCCCGAAGCCUGGGAGGAAUAUUGCGGCCUCUGCUGCUGGCUUCCCCUGUCAUCAUUCUGAGUGUUAUGAAUCGAUCUGACAUGUCUAGGGUGAACUCUCCCUCCGAAGCCACUGGCUAUUUUGGAGAACCUGUAAGCUUCCUCCCUUCUCUAUCGGAAGUCGUUGUCAGCGCGGAUGUAUUCGUCCAUCUUCUGAAGCAGUUUCUCCAGAGUCUGAGGGGGCUUCCUGGCAAAGUACUGGGCUGAAGGUCCUGGCCGAAGCCCCUUAAUCAUGGCCUCAAUGACAAUUUCAUUGGGCACUGUUGGUGCUUGUGCCCUCAGGCGUAAGAACCUUCGGACAUACGCCUGAAGAUAUUCUCCGUGGUCUUGGGUGCACUGGAAUAAGUCUUGAGCGGUGACCGGCUUCGUUUGAAACCCUUAGAAACUGGUGAUCAGCAUAUCCUUCAGCUUCUGCCAUGAUGUGAUUGUUCCUGGCCGAAGGGAGGAGUACCAGGUUUGUGCAACAUUCUUGACGGCCAUGACGAAAGACUUCGCCAUGACUGCAAUAUUGCCACCAUAGGAAGAUAUCGUUGCUUCGUAGCUCAUCAGAAACUGCUUCAGAUCUGAGUGUCCGUUGUACAUGGGGAGUUGAGGUGGCUUGUAAGACGGAGGCCAAGGUGUAGCCUGCAGUUCUGGUGAUAGAGGAGAAGCAUCGUCAAAAGCAAAAUUUCCAUGAUGGAAAUCCUCAUACCAGUCAUCCUCGUUGACGAAGCCCUCUUGGUGGAGCUCUCUGUACUGGGGCCUCCGGUUCUAUUCAUCUUGCGUAAGAUGACGAACCUCUUUAGAGGCUUUGUCUAUCUGCCUUUGUAGGUCAGCUAGCCGGGCCAUCUUUUCUUUCUUCUUUUGCACUUGUUGAUGCAGCAUUUCCAUGUUCCUGAUUUCUUGGUCCAAAUCGUCCUCCUGAGGCGUUGGACUGGUGGCCUUCCUCUUCUGGCUUCGGGCUUCCCGAAGAGAGAGAGUCUCCUGGUUCGUGUCCAGCGGCUGCAGAGCCGCAGCCCCUGUUGCUGAAGCUUUCUUUGGCGGCAUGACAAAGGUCGAUGCUUGCCGAAGGUGUUCGAAACUCAAAAAGUGGAAGUGAGUUCACCGGAGGUGGGCACUAAUGUUGGGGACUUGUUCUCAAAUGCUAAGAGUUAAGAACAAGGAAACAUAAAAAUGUUAAAUGCUAAAGUCCUUAGUCCUUCGAAGCAUUAUUUCCCUUAGGAUAUAAUGAAUUUCGGACGAAGGUUAUGAAGGACAUACCUUCAUAAGCACAACGAAUGAUGAAGAAGAAUUCAUAUAAAUUAUGAGAUAUAACAUAAACAUUUAAACAUUAUUAUUAACUCAUUUCUAUUGACUUGUCAGGGAAAAAUAGAAAUGAUAAUAAAUUACAAAUAUACCUUCGGCUUGAGAGAAGGUAAAGGUACAAGCGUGAGGCAAAAGCAAAUGCCAAGUCAGCGUGAAUAGUACGGGAACACUGUUCAUCUAUUUAUAGGCACGGGACGCAGCCCAUGCAAAAUUACAUCCAGGCCCUUUGCUUUUGACAAUAACUCUAUAGUAAUCUAUCUGGGUCUAGAUAGUCUUUUCCUCUUUAAGUCGGUUUCCUCUUUUCUGCCAUCAUGCCGAAGCUCCCUUGCGCACAACUUCUGCUCUGCUCCAUCCUUCGUAUUGUUUCCGUGCUUCUUCAUACCAUGGGCUCUUGUUCGAAGAUCCCUGUCCACACAUUAUACUCCAGAGGCAUUGCUAAAUCAUGUUUUUGAGGACCUUCGGAAGCCGAAGGCCCCCAACAGUUAUUUUGCUCUAAGAUCGGCAGUAAUGAAGUAUAAAUCAUCGUUGUGGUGUGCUACUCGGUUAAUUGAGCAUUAACACACACAAACAUGACGAGGAUGGUAUAAUCUCCAAAAAUGUGUACUUUGUUAGGUGGGACCCUAUAGCCUUGCAGAAUGUGCUAUGUUAGGCAUGCCUGGAAACGUGUGACGCAUACGUUUUGUGAACCUGUUCAUAUUAUAUGUGCUUUUAUAUUAUCGUAUUUUAUUAAAAUACUAAUAUUUAUUACUAGUAAGAUAUAACAUUCUAUCUAGCUUAAAAACUAACCAUAAAUAUUCCAUAAUAACUAGAUUUACCAAACUAAUAUACUAAAUAUACAUAAUAAAUACAAAAUUAACAAGACAAUAAUCAAUAUUUAUGAGCUUAAUAUAUUUAGACAUUAUGGUUGGUCGACGAUAAUCAUGCUAACUUUCCGUAAUUGCUUGAUUGUAAAUAUGCUUAGAAUAAUGCCUCUUUGUUCUACAUGGCAAAUAGGGACCAUUAUGGUGUAACACCCUGGGAUCCACAAACACCCUGAAAUGCUACUAAACUACACAACUAACCUUCAUAUAUUAAAUUUCGACAGCAUCUCCUUUGAAAAUUUGUAUAAACGUGGAAGCAACAGAGUAUAAACAGAUAUGAUGAUAAGGAAACAUAAUAGACAUUAAUAAUCUGCUAGAAAUGGGAAGAUAACCAUAACGACAUAAACUGAAUUAACUAGUGUGCACGGCAUGUUAAAAACAAACAUCGUUGACAAGAAGUUUCUAAUUAAAUCAUGGCUGUGCCUAGGCAGCGUUAUUAUAUGAGUGAAGGUGGACGUGAUGCUACUUCCCUCAUUCCCAACAUGAAUCAAGUACCUGUAUUGAGUAAUGCAAGAGUGAGAUGAAAACAUCUCAGCAAGUAAAUUGUUUUGACGAGAUAUUUAAACCAAAAAAAUUUGAUUUAAUCAACAUUUUAAAGGGAUCACAAUUGAGAUCAGACAUACUUGUAGAUAUAAAACUCAAUAGUCCCAAAAUAACCAAUGCCAUCUCAUUUCCACAAACAACCACAAUAGGUUGUAUAACACUUCCCUGCGUCAUCAAUACCUGCAAAUAUCACUUCAAUGUAUGCAUAGGAAUGCAAUGUUUAAGUCCUCUGCAUUCAUACUUCUUAGAGUAUAAAACCACACCAUCUGCAAAUAUCACUUCAAUGAAUGCAUAUGAAUGCAAUGCAUAUGUCCUCUGCCUUCAUACCUCUAAGGGUAUGAAGACGCAUCGUACCCCUCCUCGGGCAACGUACGAUGCUAAGUUGUACCGGUACGGUCGGACCAUAGGUCACGACAAAACUUCAGAUGCAAGUGAAUCAUGACAUGUAUAUGGCAUGCUGCAUUUAUCAAUAUACUACACUUCCUUCACAUACAAUACAAACCUCAAAUAAUACUUCGUUUACCUUCAGAUACAAUACAAACCUCAAAUAAUACUUCAUUCACCUUCAGGGGUGUUUAUUAAUCUCGUGGGUCAUACUCAAAUCAUCAUCAUCAUCAAUGAUGUUUAAGCAUCAGUAUAAUACAAUCAAGUAAAGCAUCACCAUAGAGUUCAAUUAUGAAAGAAUUCGAUGAUUCUGAAUAUUAGAGUGUAUGCGAUGAAACAACAAAGUCAAAACGGUAGCAACCACCGCUACAUUCACUUGCCUUCAUCGAAGAAGAAAAAGGUACUAGGCAUGAUUCGGAGUGUAGACACCUGCUGUGGGGCUUAAAACUUAGUACAAAUAUUCCACAAACAUUUGCCAACAACUAACAAAUCGCUCCUACACUUGUAACCAAGACCCGGUGGAAUGACUCCCACCCUGAACCACAUGUCAAACAGCAGGAGUGCUGUUUGUUAAUUUUGUAUCUUUAAAAUUAUAACAGUGGUGAUAUCAAACAAAUACUCUAGAAGUUUCUACACAAAAUACUCUACAACUUCGGUAUUCAAUGGAUAAUUAAAUUUUGCCAUCUAUAAGUUCUAAAACAUCUGACAAGAUAACUGACAGAAUCUGUUUCAGACAGCAGCAUAGUUAACUUCAAAAUUCGAUAUCUCCCAAACUCCUCAACCAAAAUUUAUGAAAUUAUGUUGACAGUAAGAACUUUUAUCCCUCUACAAAAGUCUCCAUAGUUGGAAGAGCCAAUUCGGCCAUUUACUAGAUGAAACCUACCAUUUAACAGACCCGCUCAUUUUUGUCAGGCAAACAAGAACCCUUAUAUAUCAAAGAGUAGUGGAUUUGAAUUUGUCUAAUAUGAAGUUUAUGGGCUUGGAUCAUUUAAAGUAUUUUAUAAUUCUGAAAGACAAGAUUAAACUAACUAUGUAUGAUCCUUUAGCACCGUACAGAUGGUCGAUGGGACAGUUACAUGGUUUAUAUAGAUGGACAUAUCUAUAUUCCUUCAGUGGUUGAGAAAAAGGUAAAGGUGUGUCACACUCACGCGUGCACUGCCUCCGCCGAGACGAGGCAUGGCGUUGCAAGGUGAGGCAUGGCAUGGUGCAGCACGAUCGUAUACAUGGUCGUGGCACAGUGUAGCACUGUUGUGGAUAGAUAGAUAAACUUUUGUUGUAGUUAGAGUGCAUGAGUUUUUGAAUGCAACACAAGAAUUUUCACAAUUUAACUUAAUUAAGAAGUUAUAUCUUGAUGACACAGAGUUACCUGACCAUUGAUCUCACAUGCCCUUUUAGCUCUCUCGUUCUCUAGACUCACCCUGACUAUUUAGGUCUCCUGACUCGCCAAUAUAAACACCAUCCUAUCAUUUGCUCUCGAAUACUUCUGUGUCACAACUCAACUGUCAGAUGAGUACUCCAUUACAGCACUGAGCAGGCCUCCGAAAUGAAUAUCUACUCAGAUGAAGGACGACAAUCGUGUUCUAGGGAAAUAUCAGCGACACAACUCCUUACUUCCUCCGCUUCUUCCUAGUGUUUUUUGUUGUGAUUGAGUCGACAUAGCAACAACACUGCACUAUUACAACCAGUACGACUAUAUCAACUAGCAAUGUCUUCCUUAUAUGUUACUAUUUAUUUUGCUCAUAUUCAUUAUGUUUAAAUCACAUAGGCGCCUUUAUGUUGGCAUCAAAAAAUCAGUAUCAACUUUAUAGAUUAAAAUGAAACUAAAAGUACCUAAAUUUCUAUCGGUGGGGAUCGAGUGAUUCUUUAAACCGAUUAUUACACAAGUUAACCACACUAAAAUUAACAAUGGUGAAUCGUGCCAUGAUUUUUUUCUAGUGGAAAAUAGCCAAACCAAGCAACACAUAUGUGGCUAUCGUUACACAUGUGUAAAGGUAUUGCAUCACACCAUUGUCACCCAUGUAUUUGGACAAUACCGAGAGGAAAAACCACUUAUUUAUUGUAUUAUAUCAAGUUUGUCUUGCUUACGUAUAAAUUAUAACCCAACAAAGUAAUCACUAAAUGUCAAAACCAACUAGAUACCAUGUCAUCUCUACCUUAUCUUACUAAUAUUCUUUUUGCAAAAUCCAAAAUUAAUCUUGCACAAGCACAAGGACUGAGAUGUGUAUAAAUAUCUCUUAAAUUAGUAGCUAAUAUAUCGCACAUAUUAUUGAGACCAACUAGCAACAUAGAAAGCACAAUAGUGUACCAACAAUGGCAGCCAAAAUAUUUUGCCUCCUUAUGCUCCUUGGUCUUUCUGCAAGUGCUGCUACGGCGACCAUUUUCCCGCAAUGCUCGCAAGCUCCUAUAGCUUCCCUUCUUCCCCCGUACCUCUCACCAGCGGUGUCUUCGGUAUGUGAAAACCCAAUUCUUCAACCCUACAGGAUCCAACAGGCAAUCACAGCUGGCAUCUUACCUUUAUCACCCUUGUUCCUCCAACAAUCAUCAGCCCUAUUACAUCAGUUACCUUUGGUGCAUUUAUUGGCACAAAACAUCAGGGCACAACAACUACAACAACUUGUGCUAGCAAACCUUGCUGCCUACUCUCAGCAACAGCAGUUUCUUCCAUUCAACCAACUAGCUGCAUUGAACUCUGCUUCUUAUUUGCAACAACAACAACUACCAUUCAGCCAGCUACCUGCUGCCUACCCCCAGCAAUUUCUUCCAUUCAACCAACUGGCAGCAUUGAACUCUCCUGCUUAUUUACAGCAGCAACAACUACUACCAUUCAGCCAGCUAGCUGGUGUGAGCCCUGCUACCUUCUUGAUACAACCACAGUUGUUGCCGUUCUACCAGCACGCUGCGCCUAACGCUGGCACCCUCUUACAACUGCAACAAUUGCUGCCAUUCAACCAACUUGCUUUGACAAACCCAGCAGCGUUCUACCAACAACCCAUCAUUGGUGGUGCCCUCUUUUAGAUUUCUUAUGAGUUAUAGUUCAAUAAUAAAGUUUUUUGUCUGAUGUUUGUGGCUUCCCAGAAAUAAGAAAGUACAUUUCUAGAUUCUUAUGUGCUUCUAGUCUCCAAAUGUGGUUGAUAGUUAUUUUGCUCUAAGAUCGACAGUAAUGAAGUAUAAAUCAUCGUUGUGGUGUGCUACUCGGUUAAUUGAGCAUUAACACACACAAACAUGACGAGGAUGGUAUAAUCUCCAAAAAUAUGUACUUUGUUAGGUGGGACCCUAUAGCCUUGCAUAAUGUGCUAUGUUAGGCAUGCCUGGAAACGUGUGACGCAUAUGUUUUGUGAACCUGUUGAUAUUAUAUGUGCUUUUAUAUUACCAUAUUUUAUUAAAAUACUAAUAUUUAUUACUAGUAAGAUAUAACAUUCUAUCUAGCUUAAAAACUAACCAUAAAUAUUCCAUAAUAACUAGAUUUACCAAACUAAUAUACUAAAUAUACAUAAUAAAUACAAAAUUAACAAGACAAUAAUCAAUAUUUAUGAGCUUAAUAUAUUUAGACAUUAUGGUUGGUCGACCAUAAUCAUGCUAACUUUUCGUACUUGCUUGAUUGUAAAUAUGCUUAGAAUAAUGCCUCUUUGUUCUACAUGGCAAAUAGGGACCAUUAUGGUGUAACACCCUGGGAACCACAAACACCCCGAAAUGCUACUAAACUACACAACUAACCUUCAUAUAUAAAAUUUCGACAGCAUCUCCUUUGAAAAUUUGCAUAAACGUGGAAGCAACAGAGUAUAAACAGAUAUCAUGAUAAGGAAACAUACUAGACAUUAAUAAUCUGCUAGAAAUGGGAAGAUAACCAUAACGACAUAAACUGAAUUAACUAGUGUGCACAACUUGUUUAAAACAAACAUCAUUGACAAGAAGUUUCUAAUUAAAUCAUGGCUGUGCCUGGGUAGCGUUAUUAUGAGAGUGAAGGUGGACGUGAUGCUACUUCCCUCAUUCCCAACAUGAAUCAAGUACCUGCAUUGAGUAAUGCAAGAGUGAGAUGAAAACAUCUCAGCAAGUAAAUUGUUUUGACGAGAUAUUUAAAGCAAAAAAAUUUGAUUUACUCAACAUUUUAAAGGGAUCACAAUUGAGAUCAGAAAUACUUGUAGAUAUAGAACUCAAUAGUCCCAAAAUAACCAGUGCCAUCUCAUUUCCUCAAACAACCACAAUAGGUUGUAUAACACUUCCCUGCGUCAUCAAUACCUGCAAAUAUCACUUCAAUGUAUGCAUAGGAAUGCAAUGUUUAAGUCCUCUGCAUUCAUACUUCUUAGAGUAUAAAACCACACCAUCUGCAAAUAUCACUUCAAUGAAUGCAUAUGAAUGCAAUGCAUAUGUCCUCUGCCUUCAUACCUCUAAGGGUAUGAAGCCGAAUCGUACCCCUCCUCGGGCAACGUACGAUGCUAAGUUGUACCGUUACGGUCGGACCAUAGGUCACGACAAAACUUCAUAUGCAAGUGAAUCAUGACAUGUAUAUGGCUUGCUGCAUUUAUCAAUAUACUUCACUUCCUUCAUAUACAAUACAAACCUCAAAUAAUACUUCGUUUACCUUCAGAUACAAUACAAACCUCAAAUAAUACUUCAUUCACCUUCAGGGGUGUUUAUUAAUCUCGUGGGUCAUACUCGAAUCAUCAUCAUCAUCAAUGAUGAUUAAGCAUCAGUAUAAUACAAUCAAGUAAAGCAUCACCAUAGAGUUCAAUUAUGAAAGAAUUCGAUGAUUCUGAAUAUUAGAGUGUAUGCGAUGAAACAACAACGUCAAAACGGUAGCAACCACCGCUACAUUCACUUGCCUUCAUCGAAGAAGAAAAACAUACUAGGCAUGAUUCAGAGUGUAGACACCUGCUGUGGGGCUUAAAACUUAGUACAAAUAUUCCACAAACAUUUGCCAACAAUUAACAAAUCGCUCCUACACUUGAAACCAAGACCCGGUGGAAUGACUCCCACCCUGAACCACAUGCCAAACAAUAGUAGUGUUGUUUGUUAAUUUUGUAUCUUUAAAAUUAUAACAGUGGUGAUAUCAAACAAAUACUCCAGAAGUUUCUACACAAAAUACUCUACAACUUUGGUAUUCAAUGGAUAAUUAAAUUUUGCCAUCUAUAAGUUCUAAAACAUCUGAUAAGAUAACUGACUGAAUUUGUUUCAGACAACAGCAUAGUUAACUUCAAAAUUCGAUAUCUCCCAAACUCCUCAACCAAAAAUUAUGAAAUUAUUCUGACAGUAAGAACUUUUUUCCCUCUACAAAAGUAUCUAUAGUUGGAAGAGCCAAUUCGGCCAUUUACUAGAUGAAACCUACCAGUUAACAGACCCGCUCAUUUUUGUCAGGCAAACAAGAACCCUUAUAUAUCAAAGAGUAGUGGAUUUGAAUUUGUCUAAUAUGAAGUUUAUGGGCUUGGAUCAUUUAAAGUAUUUUAUAAUUCUGAAAGACAAGAUUAAACUAACUAUGUAUGAUCCUUUAGCACUGUACAGAUGGUCGAUGGGACAGUUACAUGGUUUAUAUAGAUGGACCUAUCUAUAUUCCUUCAGUGGUUGAGAAAAAGGUAAAGGUGUGUCACACUCACGUGUGCGCCGCCUCUACCGAGAUGAGGCAUGGCGUUGCAAGGUGAGGCAUGGCAUGGUGCAGCACGAUCGUAUACAUGGUCGUGGCACAGUGUAGCACUGUUGUGGAUAGAUAGAUAAACUUUUGUUGUAGUUAGAGUGCAUGAGUUUUUGAAUGCAACACAAGAAUUUUCACAAUUUAACUUAAUUAAGAAGUUAUAUCUUGAUGACACAGAGUUACCUGACCAUUGAUCUCACAUGCCCUUUUAGCUCUCUCGUUCUCUAGACUCACCCUGACUAUUUAGGUCUCCUGACUCGCCAAUAUAAACACCAUCCUAUCAUUUGCUCUCGAAUACUUCUGUGUCACAACUCAACUGUCAGAUGAGUACUCCAUUACAGCACUGAGCAGGCCUCCGAAAUGAAUAUCUACUCAGAUGAAGGACGACAAUCGUGUUCUAGGGAAAUAUCGGUGACACAACUCCUUACUUCCUCCGCUUCUUCCUAGUGUUUUUUGUUGUGAUUGAGUCGACACAGCAACAACACUGCACUAUUACAACCAGUACGACUAUAUUAACUAGCAAUGUCUUCCUUAUAUGUUACUAUUUAUUUUGCUCAUAUUCAUUAUGUUUAAAUCACAUAGGCACCUUUUUGUUGGCAUCAAAAAAUUAGUAUCAACUUUCUAGAUUAAAGUGAAACUAAAAGUACCUAAAUUUCUAUCGGUGGGGAUCGAGUGAUUCUUUAAACCAAUUAUUACGCAAGUUAACCACACUAAAAUUAACAUUGGUGAACCGUGCCAUGAUUUUUUCUAAUGGAAAAUAGCCAAACCAAGCAACACAUAUGUGGCUAUCGUUACACAUGUGUAAAGGUAUUGCAUCACACCAUUGUCACCCAUGUAUUUGGACAAUACCGAGAGGAAAAACCACUUAUUUAUUGUAUUUUAUCAAGUUUGUCUUGCUUACGUAUAAAUUAUAACCCAACAAAGUAAUCACUAAAUGUCAAAACCAACUAGAUACCAUGUCAUCUCUACCUUAUCUUACUAAUAUUCUUUUUGCAAAAUCCAAAAUUAAUCUUGCACAAGCACAAGGACUGAGAUGUGUAUAAAUAUCUCUUAAAUUAGUAGCUAAUAUAUCACACAUAUUAUUGAGACCAACUAGCAACAUAGAAAGCACAAUAGUGUACCAACAAUGGCAGCUAAAAUAUUUUGCCUCCUUAUGCUCCUUGGUCUUUCUGCAAGUGCUGCUACGGCGACCAUUUUCCCACAAUGCUCACAAGCUCCUAUAGCUUCCCUUCUUCCCCCGUACCUCUCACCAACGGUGUCUUCGGUAUGUGAAAACCCAAUUCUUCAACCCUACAGGAUCCAACAGGCAAUCGCAGCUGGCAUCUUACCUUUAUCACCCUUGUUCCUCCAACAAUCAUCAGCCCUAUUACAGCAGUUACCUUUGGUGCAUUUAUUGGCACAAAACAUCAGGGCACAACAACUACAACAACUUGUGCUAGCAAACCUUGCUGCCUACUCUCAGCAACAGCAGUUUCUUCCAUUCAACCAACUAGCUGCAUUGAACUCUGCUUCUUAUUUGCAACAACAACAACUACCAUUCAGCCAGCUAUCUGCUGCCUACCCCCAGCAAUUUCUUCCAUUCAACCAACUGACAGCAUUGAACUCUCCUGCUUAUUUACAGCAGCAACAACUACUACCAUUCAGCCAGCUAGCUGGUGUGAGCCCUGCUACCUUCUUGACACAACCACAGUUGUUGCCGUUCUACCAGCACGCUGCGCCUAACGCUGGCACCCUCUUACAACUGCAACAAUUGCUGCCAUUCAACCAACUUGCUUUGACAAACCCAGCAGCAUUCUACCAACAACCCAUCAUUGGUGGUGCCCUCUUUUAGAUUUCUUAUGAGUUAUAGUUCAAUAAUAAAGUUUUUUGUCUGAUGUUUGUGGCUUCCCAGAAAUAAGAAAGUACAUUUCUAGAUUCUUAUGUGCUUCUAGUCUCCAAAUGUGGUUGAUAGUUAUUUUGCUCUAAGAUCAACAGUAAUGAAGUAUAAAUCAUCGUUGUGGUGUGCUACUCGGUUAAUUGAGCAUUAACACACACAAACAUGACGAGGAUGGUAUAAUCUCCAAAAAUGUGUACUUUGUUAGGUGGGACCCUAUAGCCUUGAUUAAUGUGCUAUGUUAGGCAUGCCUGGAAACGUGUGACGCAUAUGUUUUGUGAACCUGUUGAUAUUAUA
rnacentral:lncRNA from 1 species